UGGGCGCAGGUGUGGAGUUGUUAGUGGGUGGUGUAUGGUUGUAUUCAAUUUUGUUCGUUCUAUCUAAUUCUUUGGGGGUUUGGGGGUUCCUUUCAUUUUUGCCCUGCCCAGCCCUGCCGCGGUGUAAGUAAUGUAUGGUUUUGGGUGUGGCGGCAGAUGGGGGAGGUGGCCUUCUCUGAUUGAGACUUGGGUCACUACUAAUUUUUGUUUCACAGCGACUAAUGGGGUUGGGGUGGGUUGGAAAAUGAGAUGGAGAAAUGAAGCAAGUUACUGCUUAUCUUGUUUGUACAGUACAGAGCAGUUCAGCUUCGUCGCCUUGGAAUGUUGCGUUUGCAAUUUUGCUGUGAUCUUCGAUUCCUUUGGACAUGGGAUUUCAUGUCUCUACUUUGUACUACAUUGAUGUGCUAGUGGUGCUUGUAUGUGCAUCUGAAGCUAGUACGUUUUUUUGGGAGGAAGUAGGGAAUUUUAACAAUUGUGAGGAAAUGACGGCAAUGUCCCAAGAUAUCCUUGCCCUACCUAUUGGGAUCCCCAUUCAUUGUUCAUCUACUGUGAAAAGCAAGCAGAAUGAUUUCGUUUGCAAGCCCAACAAAAUUGGUUUGGCGGUCCAUUGCGGCCCAUGAAGAUUCGGGGCUUCGGCAGAGAGAGCAGAGCACCUGUGUGAUCUGUGGGCGGGCCCAUUGUCAGCGAGAGAUUCACGACAGUAAAGGAGCAUAGCAUGUCCAUCCAGGGUCCAACUUCCCACGGUGAAGACUGAAGAAGAGAGCGGCGGUACGGGGGGAGUAGCGAAGAGAAGUUUCGCCGCUCGCCAGUGAGUGGGCAAUCCUUCACCACCAUGGCGGCUCCGGCGGCCAGCACCUCCGUGUCCGAAUCCGACGACUCCGACUCCGACUCCUCUCAGUUAGUCACUCUCUCUUUCUCUCUCUCCCCCAAGGGCCGGACCCUUCCGAUUCCCCGCAACCCCGAAUUCAAUCUACUCCAUAGGUGACGAUCGAUUUGGUUCGCUUCCCUUUUGUGGAGUUGAAGUUGGGUGUUCGCCAGAAUGGGGAUCGCAUUUCUGCUUGCGCGCGCGGUGUUUGCUGUUGCGGGGAUUGAUCUCGCUCUUCCGAUGUUGCAGGUGCAGCGAGGCAAGCACAUGGGAUUCUCAAGGUACUUCAUACAACUUGCUGCUCCCCUCCACUCCUCUCCCCCAUUUCUGUUUGCUCCCAGCAUGUCUGUGAUUUUGGUGCCGCGGUUUGCAUUGCACAGAGAUGCAGUGCCUGGCCUGCAUUGCGGUUCAGGCUUCCGUGCGCAAACGGACCCUUCGCUAGAGAAAUUAAGCAGCCAAAAUGGAUUUCCUGUUUUCCAACUCUUUUUUUUAAUGUAAAUGUCGAUCCAUCCCAGAAUUAUUUUAGUACGAGCUACAGUGGGGAUGGGGGAAUGCAACUAUAACCAGUUUUUGGCAGUGGGGAAUUAUUAUUUUGUAACGACAGAAUAUUUGUCACUAUUAUACGUGUAAGUAUCAUAUCCUUAGAUUUGAAUUUUGGGUUGUUUUAUACGCAAGUGUUUCCUGUCUUCCCCUGUGCAGUGUUACAAAGGCACGCUGAAUGUCUGGAGCUGGAGGAGUUGGCAGCAAUCUCAGUCAAUCCUGCUCUGCUUCGAACUCUCAAUCAUUUGCUUCUUGAGGUGUAUGCCAUUCUGCGUCCGAAGCCACUUGACUAUGGCCAGCGCAACACCUUGGUUGAUGCCUUCAGGAAGAUUACGAAACGAAUAUUUGGUAUAUUUCCAUUUCUUGUAGUUGUGAGUUGUGACUAUUCGAGUAUUUGAAUAUUGCCAUGAACUUCUAGCCUCCAAAUUUACCCCUACUAAGUAUUUGAAUAUUGCCAUGAACUUCUAGCCUCCAAAUUCACCACUACAAGUAAUAUAAAAAUGCUGACUGGUGAAUGGUGACUAUUUAUAUAAUUUGUGAUUAAUCUCUUUCAACAACUCUUCAUUUUUGACUCUGUGAAGUCAGUCACCCCUGGGGGAAAGAAUAUAUAGGUGAUUCUGCCAUUCUGGUCUACAACACCUACGAUUAUGAUAGUCAUAGAUUAUGUCCUGGCCUUAUGCGUCAAAUAUCUUUGGUAACAUCAUGAUAUCAUCAUGUACCAAAUGUUGUUUCAACAUGUACUGCUUUAAAGAAUUCGAAAACACAUACAUGUCAUAUUGAUCUAUUUCUAAUCAGAUGGAAAAGCAUACAACUUUAUUGGGUGGUAAAACUACUAGCAGAGGACUCUUGUUGAUGUGCAAAUCAUAUAUCAGUUGCAUGUUAUGUGGUAUUUUAACGAGGGGUGUGUGUGGGUGUGUUGUAUUUGAACCUUUUUUCUAUCUCAAUUGUGCAGUUCUUCUGCAUGUUUGCAAAAAAAAAAAAAAGAACACUGUUAUUUUGAUUGUUAUUUCAACUUCUGUCUCUUGCAUGUUUCUUUGACCUUUGUUUAUCAUAACUUUCAGGUAGCAACGAUGGGUUUCCAGUUGUGGAACCAUUUGGAUCAUUCACGAUGGAUUUAUUUACUCCUCGUAGUGACCUGGACCUCUCUGUCAAUUUCAGUGCUAAUACUGAUGAUCGAUAUACUCGCAAGCAAAAGAUUUCUGUAAUCAGGAAAUUUUCCAAAGUUCUAUAUUCUCAUCAGAGUAAGUAUUUCCUUAAACAGAAUAUUUUCAGAUAUUCAUUGCACACCCAUUGAUCUUUGUGAACAAUCCAUCCUUUUCUUAUAUGAAUAUGAUAUAUCCAGGGAAUGGAAUUUUCUGUGGGGUUUUACCUGUUGUAAGUGCUAGGGUGCCUAUUCUGAAGGUUAUUGAUUGUGGCACAGGGAUUGAAUGUGACAUUUCAGUUGAAAAUAAAGAUGGCAUGACAAGGUCAAUGAUCUUUAAAUUUGUUUCCUUGCUUGACGAAAGGUUUCAGAUACUAAGUUACUUGGUAAUGCAAUCUUCUUUUCCUUUCUAAUUAGUAACUUAGCAAAGUCAUAUGAUCAACUUGAAAUCAUGUGACAACAAUCUUGUCAUUUUCCCAUUUUUUCCUCAGGUUAAAUUCUGGGCUAAAGUACAUGAUCUGAAUAGCCCAAGAGCACUAACAAUGAGCUCCAUGUCAAUCAUUUCAUUAGUUGCUUUCCAUUUGCAGGUACCAUGGGUUUAUUAUUAUUUUGGUCUGGUUAUUAAAUUGCAACCAACUGUUUCCCUACAUUUUGUUUUUAUUAAUUGACUUGCUUAUCAAUCUGUAAAUUUGAAGGCAAAUUAUCUUUAGUGUUGACUAAUGUUUGAUAGGCUAGGUUAGUGUUGACGCUUUUUUGGGGCCAACACACGAACGCACUCUAGCGUGCAGCGCGCGGAGGAGCUCGAUGCAGCGCCUCUGCACAGGCCGGUCAGACCGGUUUGAUGGACCGGUCAGACCGGUUCGCCGGUGAGCUCGGCGGUAAACCUUCGAACGCUCGCCUGGGAAGGAUCCCGUUGGGGCAAGCGCACGCAGGGUUGCUCUAGGAUCGGAAGGCCACCUAGAGCGCCUUCAAACGUCACCGAGACGAAGGAAGAACAACAAGUAGUAGAUUGGAAAAGCUUGGGCAAAGAAUAAAGGAAAAGAUACAAAAAUAGUAGAUUGGUUUUUGUCGAUUGGGUUCUGUUGUCCUCAAUCGGCCGAAUCCCCUUACAUUUAUAGGGAGGGAAGGUCUUACCCACGUAGGAGUCGAAACCCUAAUACAAAUCGUGUCAAAUUACAACUCCUACUCGGAUUACACAGAUGCAAACCGGUUAGACUGGCCUAGGCAACCGGUCUGACCGGUCUGCCCGGGUGCAGAUCUUGCGAAGGUCGUAUCUCCCUCACCCGAACUUCAAAUCGAACGUUUUAUAUAUGAAUCUUGAUCUACUCGACGAGAUCUACACAAUGGUGGAGUCAAAUCUUCAUUUGGAGCACUUUGAUCCAUCCGGUCUGACCGGUUUGGUCAACCGGUCUGACCUGUCUGCAUGGGGUGCUGAUCUUCCCGAGGGCAUAACUCUCUCAUCCGAAGUCCAAACCGGACGUUCCAUAUAUGAAUUUGAUCGUCUCAACGAGAGCUACGCCAUGGUGAAGUCCAAUUUGCAUUUUGGGAACUUUCCCCAAACCGGUCUAACCGGUUGGGAGACCAGUCUGAACAAAUCUGACCCGAUUCUCCCAAGCCUGCCACUUUUGGGCGUCAACAGUUAGAAAACAUGGUAGAUGCCCUACUACACUUCCUCAGUCUGUAUUCUUUUGCUACACUUCAGACUACUGCAUUUUGUGUACCAGAAAUUGCAUUUUUGUUCCCUUCACCUUUAUGGUAGUGCGAAUAUUGAGCCGUGGCUCGUUAGAUGCACGUCUAAGAAAAUAAGCACCAGUAUUUUGUAUUUCAUUCUUUCUUUAGCUGAAUAAGUUUAAAUUGAAUCUUUGUGCAAUGUGCAGUGCAGACCCGAUGUCCUCCAAUAUUGCCUGCGUUCUCUGCCUUGUUAAAAGGUUAUCUUCUGUCAUGCUUGCUCUUUGUUUUUCCUUUUAUUGGCAUCAUUUUGCUAACUUUCUCACAUUGAAACUGAAGAUAACUGUCUAGAUUCUUGCUCUUACAGAUGGUUUAGAUUGUGCAAGCGUUGAGAGGAACAUUGUACUGUUUAAGGAGUUUGGGAGCAGAAAUACAGAAUCUGUGGCUGAACUGUUUGUGUCACUGAUUAGUAAAGUGAGUAAUUAUAAGGUUCACCUUCUACUUAUGUUCGAAGUGGAAAUUACUUUCUGUAAUUGAAUCUAUAAGAACAUGUUGUACCUUGUUAUGUUGGAUGUCUCUUCUAACAUACACAACAUAGGUCCUUUUAGAACCCACAACAGAUUUGAGUUAGACAUGCUCGAAUUAUAUCUGCAGAAAUUCUCUUAUUUACCCAUGGUGACAUUGUAGCCAGGAAUUAUGAUAUGAUAGCUUUUGCAUUUGCCGACAUUGUGGCGAUGUACUGUUCCCCUGAACCUUAGCAAGUUUAUUUUCCCAUUUUUGUCAGUAUUGCAUUGGUCUGUGUGUUAAGAAUUAUUUAGUGAUUUAUAUUCCUAUUAGUUUGCCCUGUUUUCUGCAACGGUACCAGGUUUCACUUUUUUUUGUUUGCACAUUAUUGCAAAUAAUUGUGCUCACUACUAACGCCAAAAUUUGGCCUUGUCCUGCAGCUGUUAUCAGCAGAGAGUUUAUGGGAGCAUGGGUUGUGUGCUAGCAAUUUUGAAGCGUCAUGGAUCUCCAAGACAUGGAAGAAGGGAGUUGGCAAUUUAAGUGUAGGUAUUCAUGCAUCGGGUACUAACAAGUAGCAAAGGUUAGGCUCUUACCCUGAAAAGGCAAACAACAAUAUUUUUGCUUCUGUUUGUGCAGGUUGAAGAUUUCUUGGACCGGUCGCAAAAUUUCGCAAGGUCGGUGGGGAAGGUGCAGAUGCAGAAGAUCUGCAAAUGCCUUAGACAAUGUGCUUUGAAUUUGUUGGAUUUCAUGAGGGGGAAAGUGAACACACAGAAGCUGAAGACCCUUUUGUUUGGGCGCCUUAGCCCAGAUGAGUUGGUCAGCAAACCUCGUUUGAAGCAUGGCAAGAGAAAAAAGAAGCGUGAACUUUUCCCGCAGGGUGGAUAUGCAUUCCAAAAGAGAGCAAAACAUGGUGGUGAUGCUGCAACCAGUAGUGACUUGUUACCCGCUCCUGCGUCUGACAAGGUCUUUCCUCCUGCCCGGCAUGAUCGAAGCCCCAUCCAGCAGUCUAGCAUUCAUCAUUUUGUGCCCGUUAUUCCAUGGCCUCGUAUCAUACCUUCUGGUUUUGGCUACGGGUCAUCGCUUGAGUUUCCAUCCAUAGCUAGUCCUCACCCUGGCAAAGGAAUACUUGGCAGGCCGCCAAGUAACCCCGGCAAGGGGAUACUGGGCAGGCCGCCAAGUGAUGUAGUUCCCUUGAAACCAAUGGAGCUCAACUAGUUCAGGGACAGCAAGGUCCACAUGUCCCGACGCCACGCCGGCAUACAUUUCAGCAGUCAUGUCGCAGAGCUUAUGAGGAGCCGGUGAUGACAGCUGCAAGUAGAGCUUGGGUUGUGUUGCUUUAGAUUAGAUUAGUGUGCUAGUUAAAUGUCUGAGAUGCAAAAGCUCAGGAUGUGCUGUAGCAGCUAAUAUGUUCCUCUGUCAACAGAGCCUUACUGGCUCAUUUUUAAUUACUCUGGUCUCACGUGCCAGAGACACAGGUAAUUGACCCUGGCAUGGUACUCGAUCGAUGAGCUUCAACGUGGUGUUUAGCUUGUUGUUAUUUUUUUUUGACGUGGGCUUGUUCUUUUUGAGGGGAAGCUAGCUGGUGAUUGCAGUUGCAACCCUGCUGCGCCAGCAGUAAAAUGCUAUCUGGUGAAGGCCGGUGAUUCCUAUGCAUGGCAUCCACAAUGUAUGCGUGGAGCGUCAGGUGAGGUGACACCGCGACAGCGCCUCCGGCGAUUCUUCCUGGAGAUAUAUAUUCGUUAGGUGUACGUGAUAUUCACUUUCUCCGGCUGACAUGAGUGCUUUCGCUAGCUCAGAUAUGUCGCAAAAAUUACACAGUGAUUGCACCAGCACCACAUCUGAUGAAUCCAACAAUUAGCUGUAGCGGUUUACAAACUAUUUUAUGGCUGAAAUGCAGCGUACGGUUCUUAAACUUGUCUUGAAAAUUGCAGAUAAAGGUCUAUAACCUAGUUACUCGCGCUCUAUGAUUUUUGACUUGUCAAUAUGAGAUCUCCACACUGAUGUCACCCGGUUUUAUAAGGCUAAAACCGAAUGCAAACCAUAUGUAUGCUAGGAUCAGUUUAUUCAUACAUGCGGCGACUUCAUCAUUGAAUAUCAUUACAAUGUCAUACAUAAAUGUAACUUUAAUACAAAAUGAUCCUUGGGUAAAAAAAAUACACUUAAGGGUUCUAGCGGAGUGGGUCUUUCGAGCUACAGGCAGUCUUCUAGGGAAUCGCCAGCCUAGUACGGAGCAUCCAGGUUAAAGCUAUCGUCUUCCUGGUACUCCACUUCUUCUCUAGCUUCUAAGCAGUGGUGGGGGAAAUAUAACAGGGGUUGAAAGGAAAAACGGUAAGUACAUCGAAAUGAAUCAUAUGACAUGAGGCCAAAGCAAGGAAAGGCUUACAAACUAUUUUAUGGUAAACUUGAAAAUUGCAGAUAAAGGUCUAUAACCUAGUUACUCGCCCUCUAUGAUUUUGACUUGUCAAUAUGAGAUCUCCACACUGAGAUGCCAUAUCUGCAACCAUAUGGGUAUUUUGGAAACUACCUAAAUGAUACAUUUGACAAGUUUGAUAAUCUGGAAUAUAUAUUUCUUAUGUGUACUACUAUUAUAAGAUUAAUGUAUUUUUUGUAUUUCUUGAAAAUGGGCUUUAAAUUGUUAUGCCCAUUGUAAUUUCUAGUAUAUUUUCAUAUGCUCCUAUUAUUUAAUUUAAAUUAUUCUUGUGGCUCAUUUGAAGGCUCAGUUGUAUUUUCUACUUUAUUUAAUUAUUUUGCAUUCAUGAUAUAUUGAUGAAAUGUUUUGUUCCUUGCGUACAAACUUUUUGUUCCAGGUGUAUUCAUGAUUUGUUCCUUUCAUACUUUUUUAUUUUGUUAGUAUCUAAUUUGUUCCAUGUAUAUAAAUUGUAUUUCCAUUUACGUAAUUCCUUAGUUCCGCUCGAACAAUUUCUAUUCUCACUUUAGUAGGAGCAAUUUUAUCCCAGAUCUCGGACAAAUCCCUUGUGAACUUGGAACAUUUGUUCCACAGCCAUAAAAAGUAUUCCACCUUCAUAAAAAAGUUUUGAGAAAAUAUACUCAAACAUGAUCUUGUUUUAAAGAUUUUAUCUUAAAAAUAUAAUAGCGCAUUUGGAAUUUGAUUUAGGACAUAUUAAUUUAGGACAUAUGACCUUUUAUGUUAGAUGCGGAUGAUGUGAUCAAUUUUGUUCCCAGGUGCAUGCAAUAGCUCACCUAACAUAAUGAGGGGGAAGGAGGGGGUGGUCUUUGGGAUAUCUUCUGCCACCCACGCGGACUGUAUCAACCCCUAAGUAGGGCACAAGCGUUUGUCAAGCGGUGAAGUCACGUUGUGUACUUGAUGAGAAAAGAGAAAGUUGAACAAUGACACGAAACGAGCGAGAUGCCAAGAUGGUUGCCGCCUUGUUUUUGGUUCUCAGUCACAAAAAGUGCUCAAAAGCUUUGUUUAGUUGGACUGAGGGGGUGUUUGGAUACCAGGUGCUAAACUUUAGCAGGGUCACAUCGGAUAUUCGGAUGCUAAUUAGAAGGACUAAACAUGAGCUAAUUACAAAACUAAUUGCACAUAUGGAGUAUAAUUCGCGAGACGAAUCUAUUAAGGUUAAUUAAUCCAUCAUUAGCAAAUGGUUACUGUAGCACCACAUUGUCAAAUCAUGGACUAAUUAGGCUUAAUAGAUUCGUCUCGCGAAUUAGACUCCAUCUGUGCAAUUAGUUUUGUAAUUAGACUAUAUUUAAUACUCCUAAUUAGUAUCCAAAUAUCCGAUGUGACAGGUGUUAAAGUUUAGCACGGUGUUCCCAAACAGCCCUGGAAAUUGCUACUCUUCAUUGUGAGUAUCUGUUAUUAAGUAUAGUGCGAUUAUCAAGAUAUUCUAAUAAUAUUUUGAGGCCGGGGUGGGGUUGUAUGUCUUUCACAGGGAGAGGAUAUUUAGGUUAAGUCGAGGAAUAUGGAUACCCGGGUACUCUCAUUAAGGGCUUGACUGACUACCAAUGGGCCGGUCCAACACAAGAAAGACAAGAUGGGCCAAACCGGCCUGACUACACAAAGAACCCAGACUACAUAGGUGCAAUUGUCCCUCCGAAGUGGUUCAUAUGACCUCGUUGUAGCCUGCGAUUGCUUUGUGAGGUUUGUUCCCCACUUACUCAUGUGUGCGAGCUGGUGUUCUUCAGUUACCCUUGUGGGAUUGCUGCUUGUCGACUAGGUGUUGCUGGUGAGGCGACCGACGACUAAGCCCAGUGAAUGUUAGGACUGCCCGGAGCGUACAGCGGAUAAACAUCAUGCUUAUAGUGUGACGGGCUUUAAAGAUCUUUUCAUCGAUUCGGGUUCUGACCGUGAGUUUCAUCGUGGGUUCUUCUUCAUUGCGGGAGAUGGAGAAGGCUCGGGCAAUGGCAAUGGCAAUCGACGGAGGCGAGGAUCGUCGGGUGCUCCUGUUGUGGAAUUCAUUGUAUUUUUCCUUUCGCUAGAGGCACCCUGUUCAAGGGGUUGGAUGUAAAAGUAUUGAUAAUGAAAUCCAACCCUUCUUCUAAAAAAAAAAGCAUGUACAAUUGUCUAUAGUAGUCGAUUAGGGGACUUUCCAUGUAACCAUACCCUCAAAUUAUAUAAGGGGAGGUGGAGUACCCUGGCACUAGGGGAUGACUCAUAUAUCACAAUCCAAGCCCUAAACCAUUUGAGCGCAUUGCACGAUACAAUCCCUGAACAAGACCUAGGGUAUUAUGCUACAACGGUAGUUUGAACCUGUAUAAAUCUGUGUGUCUUGUGUCCCUGUACAUAUGUUAGUAUCAAGUUCAUGGUUUUGCAAUCCCCUUCCCUCGAGUGGAUUGCCGAACUAGAAAUCCGACAGGAUCAAAGAGCAAGGAAAGGGUUUUCAUAGUAUAGGAUGGUUUAUAUAGAGUAAGAGAAAGUCACAAAAGCAAGCAAGGCACAAUAACAUCAAACGACAAAGGCUUGAACUCAGCUAAAGCUUUGGCAAAUUCUUUUCACGAAUUCGAGGUGUUACAACAAAUCAUGAAAUUAAACAUAUCCAUUGAGCAGAAGAGUUGACUUAUAUAUGUUUAGAGACAUUUGUUGUUAAACACACGUUGUACUCCGUCCGUUGUUAAAUAUAUGACAUUUAUGACAAGCUAUUUAUUAGUUUAUAGAUGUUUCUUUUUACAGCAUUUUCUUGUGAAAUUCUUUUUACUGCAUAACUUGUGUAGAACAUUUACGGAGUACUCCUCCUUUUCAAAUUGUAGGUCAUUUUAGCUUUUCUAGGUGCAUAGAUAUUAUUAUGCAUCUAGAUAUAGUGUAUGCCAACACUACUAAAAAACAAUUUGUAGGGGCGCCCUGAUUUUUCUAGGGGCGGACGAAAUUGCCACCCGCACCUACAAAAUGGGGUCGUUACUAUAGCAUACGGCCUGCCCCUAGAGAACUAUUUGCAGGGAUAGGCCACGGGAUGAUCCGCCCCUGGAAAUGAGGGCGAUUUCCACGGGCGGGCGAUGGGGUGACCCGCCCCUAGAAAUCACAAUUUGCAGGGGUGGGUAACCCCAUCACCCACUCCCAAAAAUUAUUUCCAGGGGCGGGUGAUGACAUGGCCUGCCCCUAGAAAUGGUUACAAUCCUUGAUGCAAUGCGCCAUGUCCUUAGCAGAACAUUUGGCAUAGUAACUCACUGCCUUCCUGAAAUGUGACUAUAGCAGGUGUCGGUGUUUAGACCUGGCAACCUACCGAGGGGAGUGCCCGAUGUGGUGUUUAGUUUGUGGGGCUCGCCGAGAUUAGGAACUUGAAGGUGAACACAGACACACGAUUUAGACAGGUUCGGGCCGCUAGAUUGCAUAAUACCCUACAUCAUGUGUGUUGGUUGGAUUGAAUUGCUUUGGAGGGGGUCUCUACCUCACCUUAUAUUGUCGGGGUAGGGUUACAGGUCAAUUGAUUUACAAGAAUACUAGUCGGAUUUGACUAGGCAAGUUCUACUCUGAUUGCUACGAGUACUUUUCCUAAUUCUCGACUAGUUCCCAUCUUGCCACGUAGACUGCGCUGUCCUGCGCCAUAGCCUCCAUGUUAGAUAUGUCUUAGUGUCCAGUCCUAUAUUUAGGACUAUCCAAACCUUUUGGUGGGCCCACAGAUGUAUGUACAACAAGCCUCCGAGUACUUUUUAGUCAAUUGCAGCAGUUCCGAGUACUUUUGUAGGCUUCACAAUUAGUUUUCGUGUUCUUCGAGCACUUCAUCAGGUUGAGUCUUCAAAAGUAUGUGAGCACUGCCAUGCGUCUAGAAUGUGCUCAAGCCUCAUUUAACUUAGUCUUGAAUCCUUCAUCUUUGAAUUUUAUAUGGAAGUGCAACGAAGGUCGCAUUCGAUAUGGAGUAACCUCUGAACCUUAGGUUGAAUCGAAGAAUCAAGCUGAGGUUCAAUCUGUAAUUUGCAUUGCUUUCCCCUUAAAACCUAGCGAAAAAACUUUUUUUACCGAUGAGCACGUGGCACACAGCCUCCGAGCCUUUUACCAACCAGUUUGGUGGGUAUAAGGGUCAACCUUUGGUUAACGUGACCAUCUCUAAAUGGAAACCCUAUCUCUUCCAAAAAUAGAGGUAACUGCCAAUCAGGUGCGGAAUCUUUGGGUCCAUUAAACCUGAAUAUUCCUUUAUUCCCACUGUUGUUACAGCACCGCGGUUAUAAAUAAUAGAGGAAAACAUCCCUUCCGAUUUACCUUUGCUAUCUGCCAUUUCAUCUUCCACAUUGUAGCUCUAGCACCACCGCUACCCAAUCUCCGAGUGCUAGGGCCACCGUCCUCCUCCACUCAGCCCCCGAGCGCAUGCGACAGAAGACACUCAUGACAUCGAGAAUGUGGAGGAAAGCUGCUGCAUCCAAUGCGGUUGAGGGUGGGAAGAAGAAAGUGGACAAGAAGAAAGAGCUGCAACUGUUGGCACCCAAGUACGGGAAGAUAGACCAAAUUGCACCUUCGACUCCUGCGUGUGCUUGGAAACGAUCGUCGCUGAAGGAGGAAGAGAUUAAGGUCCUGGUGGGCGCGAAUCUGUUUCAAGAUCGAGAUUUCAUCAAUUGGAGACCCGCCUUUGGCAACUCGUGGACACCGGAGGAGUACCUGGAAGAAACGGUAAUCUUCACGCAUUUCAUUGAGCGUGGUCUUGCUCUUCCUGCAUCAGAUUUCUUCCGAGGUUUGUUGGAGUACUAUAGAUUGGAGCUAGUGCACCUGAACCCCAACAACAUUCUACACAUCACUAUCUUUGUGCAUCUUUGCAAAGGUUUCUUAAGGAUUCGGCUCCGCUUCCAACUAUUCUAGAAGUUCUUCCGAGUGAAACCGCAGCCGAAGAUGGAGUGCAGCCAAGUAGUCGGAGGCGCCAAAAUUCAAAUGCGGGAGGAGCUCAAUGGCCUCUACUUGGAUUAUGAGCGAAUUGAUUCACAUGCCGGAUGGAAGGAGAAGUGGUGAUACAUUGGCAACCAUGACCCCAAGCUUCCUAAGCUAAUAGGGCAUCGCCCUACAUGGAACAACAGAUGGUUGGACGAGCCAAGCCAUGGAGACUGCCUGCAACUACCCGAACUCCUGGACAGGAUAUCCAAGUUGAAGCAAGAAGGCUUGACUGGAGUUGGGUGGUAUUCAACUUCAUGAAGCGGCGUAUUCAACCCCUGCAGCCGCGAUGCCACUUGGGUUACGAGUACUCGGGAGUCACUGAUCCAUCAAGGCUAUCUCCCAAAGAACUUAGCACAUAUGAGAUUAUGGCGAAGCUGAGGUGAAUGUUCAAGAAUGCGGGUGAAAUCCCCACUAUUGUGCGAGAGUUCUGUGCGGCCAACCCGCCACAAGCUGUAAGUACCCGUUGUCGCAGCCCCCGAGUACUCAUUUUGUUAAUGUUGGGGUGUACUAACUUGUCUGUCUGUGUAGGAAGAUGUACAUUUGUACUGCUCUGCUCCUCCUCCCGGAUCAGAAGACAUAUGUGAAGCUGCUCCUCACGUCCAUAUGGCGGCGAUCGCGGAAAGUGAUGCCGAGGAGGAGGAAGAAGUAGUCAAGGCCUCCAGCAGCUCUAAUUUUGAUGUCGCAGAGGGCUUUGAAAUCAAGGCCCGGCCAUUUGAUAAGGCCGGGUCAUCCUCUAGGUCAUCGAAGUGUGUAGUUGAAGACGAUCUUGAGGCUGCACUUCCUCCACCUCAGAGGAAGAAAUGGUCCAUUGCUGCAAAGCGGGCCGUGAAGAAGCCUGUUACUACAGAAGAUGUACCCCCCGUGGUAAUAGCCUAUGAAGAAGGACAAGAUCCUGAUGAUCGAGUACUCACAGUAGGUAAUUCCAAUACCACCAUGUCUACUCAAGAUGGCAUUGGUGGUGUGCAGGUACUUGAGGAGGUGACCGAGGCAGAGAAGGCGACUGCUGAGGCUACGCAACACAAGCUGCCGAUCAUCGAGGAGGUCAUUGGAAUCGAAGAUGAUCCAAAACCUCCCGUUGCUGAGGUGGAGCCUGCUAGUGCAAGAGCUACUCAAGGAACAGAGGCGGUAGCAAAGGUUGGUGAUGAUCAAGCUGCAUCUACUCAACUCGCACCAAAGAAAGCCCUCUCUGACCAUCAAGCCACUGCGCCUGAUAGAGGAACCUUCCCUUAAGCUAAGGAGAUCUUCAAAGUAAGUCUUGCUACUCCUUUGAGUACUAAUUACAACUUGUGAUCGACUUAUUUCAUGUCUCAAAAAACUUGUGUUAUGUAGAAAAUCUUCUAAUGUGGAACUUGGAGGGCCGAGCCUAAAGCCUGUGACCGAUGGUAGCAGCCACUUGGUCCAGGACGUUGCCCUGGCUCCAACAAGUUCGCAGCCAGAACAACAUCUUGCACCAAUAAGCAGCCCAGGUGCCAUAUCUCUCAUAGCAGCGUUGAUGUAGGAUGUGGUAUCUUCAAAGGUUUUAAUAAGUCAUUGAACUAGUAGAUGAAAGGUAAUUGAUCUUCUCCCUUGGUCUUCGAGUACUGAUUUUACUUGUAAUACUGAUCUUCUGGUGGAUUAUUUGUGCAGUGCUCGAGAAGUCGAAGGAUGAUCUCCAGGGACAAGUCACCGACUGGAAGAACUCUUACUACUAGGUGACGGAUCAGCAUGAUAAGCUGACUGCAUUUUAUGAGAACCUGGAUCAUCACUUGAAGAAGGAGAGGAAGAUGCGCGAAGACAGGGAGGUCGACUUGGUUAAUGCCAUGAAGACCCUUCAAGAGCGUGAGGCCAAGCUGGAAGCUGCAAGACUUGCUUUGAAGGAAAUUUCUGAAGCAUCCUAGCCGAUAGCGGACAUGGUGGAGCCCCCAGUUGAGGGUGUAGAGCCCCGCCCUCUAUCCGAAAUACUCAAGGAUGUGACAGCGAAGUUCACUAGCUACAUUCAGAAGAUGGCGAAGUCUGUCUCUAAGCAGCUGCUGAGCUUCGUCAAUUCAUUCUACCCUUCAGCUGAUCUGACGCCUGUGGUGGAGGGUAUAACGGAGGAUUGUUCGGAUGAGCUCUUCCAGCAGUACCUGCAAGAUCAUUGAAAACAUAGAGAAUCAUUUAGACCUUGAGUAGUCUUGUACAGAAAAGCAAACGUUAGUUCUUGUACUGUAAACAUGAUAUGAAUGCUCUGAAAUGUAAAUAAUUCUAAGUCUUAUUGCAAUUACUGCUGCUUUCGACUUGUGUUUUUUUAGUGCCUCUUACGAACUACCCUGAUAAUUACUCGUACGGUAGAUGUAAGUGUCUGCACACAAGGCUUCUUUGAUGAGCCUCUUCAGAUACGCAAUUUAGUGUACUUAGGAUGCGACUCCUUUCUGUAGAGUACAAGUACUCAAGGUAUCUGGGUAGUUAGACCUCUUGGGCGAGUAGUCUCCUCAUGGUUUCUUCAACUAGAGCCUAUCUCUACAAUGUCUCUAUUGUAUUGAUGUUGUGCUCUUAAAAACCCUGGAACUGCAAACUUGUUAUUACAAGCCGCGACUAGACAGACUUGCCUAGUAGAAAGUAUCUUAGGUAGUUUAGUUAACCCCCGAAGUAGCGAGCCGCUAAGGGACAGAUUUUUCCAGUGAGUUAGUAAAACUCUUUUAAAAUUUUUGCAAACUUAUUAUUACAAGCCGUAUGUGGGCAAUUUUACCCAAGGAGCUGAAUAGCUUGCUGUAGUUGUGCAGACUUGUUAUUGUAAGCUGCGAUUCGGGCGAUUUUGCCUAGAGAGCUGAAUAGCUCCGCAACUUGCUUCUGCAAGCCGUAAUUAGGCAGAAAUAAGUAGUCAUAUUACGACAAAAAAUAAGUCUACUUUAUUGAAUUGAAAUUCUACAACUAAGGCCGAUGAUCGAUGUACAUGAAUGUGUAAACUAGGGAUAAAAUUGGCAAAGUUGCUCGAUGUUCCACGAGUUGUCGAUGUCUUCACCAGAGAUGUGUUGGAGCCUAUACUACCCAAGUCCAGUGACCUUGAAGACGAUGAACGGACCCUCCCAUGGUGAGUUUAGCUUGUGCAGCCCCUUGAUGUCUUGAAUACGCUUGAGGACCAUAUCCCUAUAUUGAACGAAUGUUGUUUGACAUUGCGAUCAUGAUAGUGGCGGAUUCCUUCAAGGUACGUUGCGAACUGGACGAGUGCUGCACAGUGAGCUUCUUCGAGGCUGUCUAAGUCUAGAUGCCUUGUUUCUUCUGCUACACCCUCCUCGUACUGCUCAACUAUUGGAGAUUUCCACAUGACGUCUGCAGGAAGGAUAGCUUCGGAUCCGUAGACCAGAAAGUAGGGAGAUUGCCCUGUAGGGUUGCACGGUUGGGUAUGGAGCCCCCAGAGGACAUUGGGUAGUUCUUUGAGCGACCUGCAUCCUUUCGUGUUUCCAAUAUCAUGCAAUCUUUUUUUGAGAGCUUCUAGUACCACCCUAUUGGUGUGCUCAACCUUGCCAUUGGCCCGUGGAUGAGCGACAGAGACAUACCAGAUGCCAAUCCCACUAUUCUCGCAAUAUUCCUAGAACUCGUGAUUGUUGAAGUUAGAGCCCAGGUCUAUGAUAAUGCGAUUGGGGAAGCCGUAGCGGUGGACGAUUUCAUCGAGGAAGUCGAGUACUCUAGCUGCCUUGGGGUAGGUUACUGGCUUCACCUCGAUCCACUUAGUAAACUUUUCGAUUGCCACUAGUACUCAGUUGAAUACUCCAGGCACUGUAGGUAGUGGGCCAGUCAUGUCAAGUCCCUAGCAUGUGAAAGGCCAAGAGGGUGGUAUGGUGAUCAACUUGUGUGUAGGGACGUGCUGUUGCCUUGCGAAGAAUUGGCAUCCUUGGCAUCUGCGGACUAGUUCCUCGGUGUUAGUAAGAGCUGUAGGCCAAUAGAACCCUACACUAAAAGCUUUAUGUCACACCCAGUUUUAAAGGUAAAACCGAAUGCUACCUAUAUGUAUGCCAGGAUCAAGUUUCAUACAUAUAGUGACAUCAUAAGUGAAUAACAGCAACAGUAUCACGUAAAAAGAUACAAAGACUUACGAAACCAUCAGAGAUAUACACCUUAAUUAUGGAAACGGAGGCUCCAAACUUCACAGGCAAACGACUGGGGGUUGCGUACGCCUAGAACUCAGCACCAUCUUCACAACAACUUCAUAGCAGCUUCUUCUUCUGAGCAAUGUUGGUUAUAGCAAGGGUGAGCACUUGUCGUACUCAGCAAGUGUGAGGAGAAUAUGAAUGCAGGGGUUAAACAAGGAAAGGCUGACUGGUUGACUGCAUUAAGCAUUUUUAGUUGGUCAAAUUUUAUUAGCACCUGAUUACUAAGGUAUAAGUAUAUACCAACCCACAAUUAAUAUAAGCAUAAACAUAAGCCAUAAGCAUAUGGCACAACCAUAACCAUAGCAUAAACCACAAUUUAAAUCCAUCUUCAAGUAUAUUACUCAUGUGAGGGUCCAGGCCGCUCUUAACCGUGAGCACGGCUGAUCGAUCAGUUUUACACUCUGCAGAGGUCGCACAUCUUUACCCACAAGUCGCGUAAAAGCUCAAAAGAACUUUAGACCCAACCACGCUUGUGCUGAUCAGGCACAAUACCACACUUCCGAGGUGUGAUUGCAUAGGGACGCUACGAGGCCUUUACAAAGAUUCAUUAGUCAGUGGUAACCCGCUAAGGUUUCGGUGUCUGGCGUGCACCACCCAUCCCAGGUAAAAUGCAACGACUCAGUCCCCCCUCUUGCCUCAUCACGAGUAAGGUCACCCCAGACUAAGGUUUCUAAUUAAUCAGCCAAGACCAGAGCCAUUUAGUCUUGUGGUAGCACUGUUUUCCUGGGUGGUUCUCCAUGUUCCAAUUAACAUUGUAAUCUUGUAUUAACAAGAGGUGUAGCAUAAAUAAAAUAAGUUCAUCAUCUUUGUUCAUUAGAACCACCAUAACCCAAAUAUAGCAGCUAAGCAUAGCUACCCAACAGAAAGGUAAACCCAGGUUGGCAAGGAAUAAUCACGAAAACUAGGCAAACCUUAAUAGGACCCAUCAAAUUUAAUGCAAGCAUAUGCAAUAGUGAUUAAACAGAGUUAUUGGGAUAAAAGCACAAGGACACACUUGCCUUUCUCCAACGAAAAGUUACUCUUACUUCUCUUCGGCUCUUGCUCACUUGAAACUUGUACUCUUAAGAGCUUCCGAACGGCGAUCCUUCUACUCGGAGCAAACAUCGGCACAAACAUGCAAGCAAACAAACAAAUACAACUAAGAGCAGUACACCAAAAUAAAAGACAGACUUUAAAAGAGCGUACUAACGACAAGGCUCGAUCUAAGGUCACGCGAACGUAAGGAACACUUAAAACGGAACUAUGGUUGAAAAGAUAAAGCUAUCGAGAGUUUUGAAUUAUAAAAGAAAGAUAAGAGCUACAAGCUUUAUUUAUUUUAGUUGAGAAAAGCAAUGUAAAGAUAUUUCAGAGAAAUAUCCUUAGUUAGAAUUAAUCAAGUCAUAUUUAUAUUUUCAUAAGAAAAGACGGUGUAAAGCUUACUCCAAUUUUAUUUAUAAAUAUUUGAGUACAAUUUAUGCCAAUUAAACAUUUAAUUUAAAAAUAAGAUACAUGUAGACAUCUAAGCGUAUAGCUUUACAUCUCGAGUUCAACUAAGUAGAUUAAAUUAAAAACACAUUUACAUUUAUAUUAGCCAAAUUAAUAUUUAAUUAUGAAAACUCGAGAUAUAACCUAUACAGAUUUUAUUUAGAAAACAAAUUGAAUAAACAUUAAUCAAAUUGAAUUUAAUUUAUGAAACGCCGAGGUAUAACUCUAAGUGGCUUUUAAUUGGAAGAAUUAUUUAGAUAGGCAUUAAUCCAAUUAACUUUAGUUUAUGAAAAACCGAUAUAUAACCUAAUUGGCUUUUAUUUAGAAGAGGGUAUGAAGUAGGUAUUAAUCAAAUUAACAAUUAUUAUGAAAAACGAUGUUUAACGCUAAAUAGAUUUUAUUCAGAGAAGAACUCGUUUGUCAGGCAUUAAUCAAUUUUAAUAUAAAUUUUAUUUUCAAAAACAUGUGUGAAGGAAAACAUACCACUAACGUGUAAUUUACAUCAUUAUGAAUCUAACGCAACUUGAACGGACGAAAACGGAAUUAAAACGUGGGUUCUAUGGGUUAAACAAGGUUGUAGGGGCCUAAACGUAAUUAACCGUAGACUUGGAGGGUUAGCUGAGAAGAUUGGCAAGACACAAGAAAUAGUGCUCGCGAAAAGGUUAAAGGACAGGGUUAGAUUUGCAAAACCGCAGGGGCUGGACUGGAUCUAGGGAAACUAAUAGAUCCAGGGGGUUAUCUGCUAGUUUGCCAAGACACAAAGGAAAGAGGAAAAAAUUACAAAGUUCUCCAGGGGCUAAACUGAAAAACGGCGCUUCAUCUUCUUCCCCACGCCAGGAGCAGGCGGCGGACAGAAACAGAAGGCAAGGCAGUCUGUUACGGUUGCAAAAACAAGGAAAAGAGAGAAAAAGAGGGAAUCGCCGGAAACGAAGUCCGAUCUCGCGCAUGAACGGCAAAAUGGAACGAUAUCGACGAGGCGAACAAGAUGGUGUGCUCACCUUCGGCAAGAGAUGAACAAUGGUGGCGGAAAAGCUCGCCGGAGUUGGGGAAGACGACGGAGCCGACAUCGGAUUCAUGCAAUCCACCACACCACGGCGUAGAGCUCGAAGAGAGGAACUCCAUGGUGGUGUCGGUUUUCGCCGGAAGUUCACGGUUUCGCCGGAAAAGCUCGCCGGAGUUUGACAAAGACCGAACUUUGACUUCAGAUCUACGGAGUUAGGAGAUGCAACUCGUAAAAAGGUUUUCAGAUCUGAAAUCCUCGCGUCGAGACGAACGCGGUGAUAUAUAUAUACGCCACACUCGGAAAAGAUAUUUUCGAGUUGACUUUUUGAUUUUUCGGAUUUUCUGAAUUUAUUUAUCUGCGCGAAAACAAUUCCAAAAAUAGCUGGACUCGUUUUCUAAAGCAAGAAAAAUAUCUAGAAAAUUCUGAAAAAUCUGAGAUAAAUCUCAGUGAUGAAUUGGGAUGCAAGGAAUCCAAAUAAAAUACUUGGAGCUCGUGAAAAGGAUUCUAGAGCCUUCUAAAAAUUAGAUUUAGCUCUAGGAAAAGGAGAAUAAUUUCCGGAAAAAGAUGGAAAAUUCUCACAAGGGUCUGGGCAACGUCUAAACGUAUUUUCAAACUUUUGCACUCAAGAAACGCCAAGAUGCAGCGACAUGAAUGUACAGACAUAGAAUAACAUUUUUAAUUUAUGAAAGCAAACAAUUAUUUUUCCUAUACUAAAUUUCCUGUAAAAGAAAAUUAAAUAUUGGGAAAAUUUUAAAAUUAUGAGAAAAUCAUUGUUUAUUUAUCCCUUUUAUUCACAACCUGAAAUUCGGAAAUUUCAGGGUGUGACAACACUACCCCCCUUAACAAGAAUCUCGUCCCGAGAUUCGCAAAGGCUAGCAAGAGACAAAGGUUUAGGUGGGUAGCAUCCAACACUUAUUAGCUUCUUCCUAGAUCGUUCAUCCUUACGUAAGCCCCUCAAUCAUGCUUCUUUAUGCUUCACUACAUCACAUAAAACACUUCAGGGAUACUUAGUCUAAUUCCUCUUUUAAGUAUCCUUUCCUUCCCUCUGCUUCUUUGGCCCAUCUUUGAAGAAUUUUCUUCAUUUCUUGGUAAAGUGAUUUGAAUAGAGCUGAAUUGCUUCCCUCCGGCUCGACUGUCACCCUUCAAGUCUUCAUACGCAUCCUUGAGUCUUCUUAUCCAUCUGGUCCAAACGCUUGUUGGGGCAUUGACUAAUGAAAUGUCCCUCUUCUUUACGGUAGAAACAUGUUUUUCUUGCUUUGGUACUUUGGCAACUGAAUGUGGUAUGGGAAUUGGGCAUUGGAAAUUGAUGGCAUUCUUUCCUGAUUGAGGCGUCUUGAUCAUUCGUCCUGACAAAGAGGCCAACUGAUGUUGUCGGGUUGAAGGCAGAGCUUUUGGGUACUUGGUCCUGGGGUUGAUCAUCUUUCUCUUUUGCACACCAACUAAUCAAGAUGUCCAUUUUCUCCACACUGGAGCCAAUACAAUUUGGCUCUAGCGGACUUGGUCGACUUAUGCUUUAUUGGACAGUUAUUGGCAUAAGGCCCUUCUUCACCGCAUCUGAAGCACAAUACUUUUACACAUCCAUCUUGGUUUCCUUUCUACUCCCUAGUAACUCUCGGUGGAAUAACUGGUGCAUCAGGAUUCUUAUUGAUGGGGUUACCAUGUGGAUGGUGAACAACUUUAGGCUGUGGUUGGUGGAAACUAGGCUGAGUAUUGUUAUCUGCCAAUGGUUGUGGUAACUUCAUCUUCUCUUGACUUGCUUUACUAGUUGGCUUCUUGGCUCGCCUACUCCUCUAGGGCUGAAAUUCUUUGAAAGAGAUACUCCAACACUCAAGGUUCAUAGUCUGAGUACUAUCUUCAUCUUGGGUAACUUCCUCUAGGGAUGGCCCUUGGGCAUCCAACUUCCUCCUCUUAUUGAUAUCUAAAUGAUGAUGUUGUCUAGCUUUAGCUGUCAUUAGGCUAUCUUCUUUCUGGAGACAUGGAAGACGAUGGUGUUCCUGGAAUCUUAACAUCUUUGUAUUGUCUCUCCAUUUCCAGCUCCGACGUUCUAUGGCUUCUCUUGUUCCUUUGACAGUCCCAGGCUUCAGCAACUUGCCUCUUCACUAGUCCAGUGGGAAUUCUAGCCUUGGUUAUCUCCAUGUUAUGAGGGGAUGAUGUGUCAGUCUGUUUUCCUUCCUUGUAAGACUUGAGCCUGCAUAGCUGAUAGCUUCUCGUUGUCGAACGGUGGUGGAGCAAACAAAACGUGAUGGUCAUCACUGGUGAUAGGGUUGUGGUUCUGAGGAAGUGAGGCUUGCUCUGUGAUAUACUGAUGGAUAUGGACCAUGGUUUGAGACAUUGCUUGUAAAACCUGAGUUUGUAUUGCCAUAUACUCUAACAUCUUGCGUUCGAAUGAUGCGGCUACAGGUGGAAUGUUAAGAUCUCCUUCAUUGGCUCUAUCUUCAUGAUUUUCAUUGGGACUCGCCAUUUGGUUUUGUGAUAAAGAUAGGAUCGGUAGAAAAUAGGAAAUGGAUAAAAUUGCAGAACAAGGUAGAGCACUUCAUGAUAUCUUCGUCUUUUCUUGGUCGUCAUCCAAGUAAGGUAGGAGGAAGGAUAGAAAGCAGCAAGGUGGCAAGUAAACUAGGGUAGGGCCUUCUUUCCUUUGACUUGCUUCUAUUCCGACGGUGAUAGUGGCGAUAGCCUCUGCUUGUUGAUAUUGGUGUUGCCUUCACUCUCUUCUUGAUGUCCAUCAGAACUGGGAGAUAGAAAGAAAAAUAACAAGGAUGUGGGAGGUACAAGCAGAUUCAAAGAGAGAAAAGAAAAUAAAAAGGUGGGAGACAACAAGUUUCUUAUGGCAGAGUGGAUAGUCUUUCAUCUUUUCUUGUCGCGAGUAGAAUCUCCCUGCUUUCUUCAUCUUCUUUGGUUCUUGUAAUCAUCAUUAGAGUAAGAUGGAGAUCAGAGUAAAGCCUUCUAUUCUUCAACUUGCUUAUAGCGAGACGGUGGUGGUGAUGUUAACUCCUGCUUGUUGACGUUGGUGUUGACUUUAGUUCCCUCUUUUCUGAUAUCCUUCAUUGUCUCGGGUAGAAAGCAAUGGAUGACAAGGAUAUGGGAGAUUCAAAAGAAAAACCCAGCUAGGCAACUGAUGUCAUUGUAGAUAGAAGACCCACAAUACACCAACAAUCAUUACAAAGAAACAAAUCAGACAAUUUCAUCAAAACAAGCAUCAUAAUGCAAGCACAAAAUUUCACCAGUCAACACACAAUUAGGGAACGACGCUAAACGUUGUUAGUAAGGCUGCGAGGGGUACUUCCUAAGCAUGUGUUGUUUGGUAAGGCUUCAACAUGCUUGGUGUCCUUCAGCUUGUGCAGCAUUGACUCCAGCUGUUUGGUGCACGUUUCAGUUGCUCAGACUUGACUUCUAGUGGUGAACUGGUAACUUCAUUCUCCAGAUGUCUUGAACAGGCUUUAAGACAGGUGGCAUGGAUCAUCUAGAUAUUUUUGAAUAAAAUGAGACAUUUUGGAAUCAAAAGUCAAGGAAAAGAUUCCAAGGUAGCAUUUAUUUCAAAAGCAACGAGAGGUACUAUGGGGAAGAUGGAUAUACUGAAAAUAAAGUUAAGGAGGAGAUAGGUUUACAAGGAUAAGUAAGUAAGGAAAACAUUAAGGAGGCAAAUGAACAGGUGAUGAGAGAGUAGCAAUAUCACUAAGAAAUCAAGGAGGUGUAUUGCAUCAAACAGGUAAGAUCAUUCAUCAAGAAGGAGAUGCAUGAUCAAGAUCAAGCAGUGAUCAAGGAGAGAGGAAAAAAACAGACAAGGAUUGAGGGUCUAACAUUUGCAAGACAAGUAGUGCAAAUGUAAAGAGCUCAAGUUAUCAAGGAGGAUUGAGAAAAGAAAAAUGAUCAAGGGGUGAGAAUAUUUUUCAGAAAGGUCAAGGAUAAGGCAGGAAUUGUUUAUAUAGUAAAAUAGACCUUAGGAAGUGACCAUUGCUAUCUAGGCUUACGUCCUACAGUCGAUACGGCUCUGAUACCACUUCUGUCACACCCAGUUUUAAAGGUAAAACCGAAUGCUACCUAUAUGUAUGCCAGGAUCAAGUUUCAUACAUAUAGUGACAUCAUAAGUGAAUAACAGCAACAGUAUCACGUAAAAAGAUACAAAGACUUACGAAACCAUCAGAGAUAUACACCUUAAUUAUGGAAACGGAGGCUCCAAACUUCACAGGCAAACGACUGGGGGUUGCGUACGCCUAGAACUCAGCACCAUCUUCACAACAACUUCAUAGCAGCUUCUUCUUCUGAGCAAUGUUGGUUAUAGCAAGGGUGAGCACUUGUCGUACUCAGCAAGUGUGAGGAGAAUAUGAAUGCAGGGGUUAAACAAGGAAAGGCUGACUGGUUGACUGCAUUAAGCAUUUUUAGUUGGUCAAAUUUUAUUAGCACCUGAUUACUAAGGUAUAAGUAUAUACCAACCCACAAUUAAUAUAAGCAUAAACAUAAGCCAUAAGCAUAUGGCACAACCAUAACCAUAGCAUAAACCACAAUUUAAAUCCAUCUUCAAGUAUAUUACUCAUGUGAGGGUCCAGGCCGCUCUUAACCGUGAGCACGGCUGAUCGAUCAGUUUUACACUCUGCAGAGGUCGCACAUCUUUACCCACAAGUCGCGUAAAAGCUCAAAAGAACUUUAGACCCAACCACGCUUGUGCUGAUCAGGCACAAUACCACACUUCCGAGGUGUGAUUGCAUAGGGACGCUACGAGGCCUUUACAAAGAUUCAUUAGUCAGUGGUAACCCGCUAAGGUUUCGGUGUCUGGCGUGCACCACCCAUCCCAGGUAAAAUGCAACGACUCAGUCCCCCCUCUUGCCUCAUCACGAGUAAGGUCACCCCAGACUAAGGUUUCUAAUUAAUCAGCCAAGACCAGAGCCAUUUAGUCUUGUGGUAGCACUGUUUUCCUGGGUGGUUCUCCAUGUUCCAAUUAACAUUGUAAUCUUGUAUUAACAAGAGGUGUAGCAUAAAUAAAAUAAGUUCAUCAUCUUUGUUCAUUAGAACCACCAUAACCCAAAUAUAGCAGCUAAGCAUAGCUACCCAACAGAAAGGUAAACCCAGGUUGGCAAGGAAUAAUCACGAAAACUAGGCAAACCUUAAUAGGACCCAUCAAAUUUAAUGCAAGCAUAUGCAAUAGUGAUUAAACAGAGUUAUUGGGAUAAAAGCACAAGGACACACUUGCCUUUCUCCAACGAAAAGUUACUCUUACUUCUCUUCGGCUCUUGCUCACUUGAAACUUGUACUCUUAAGAGCUUCCGAACGGCGAUCCUUCUACUCGGAGCAAACAUCGGCACAAACAUGCAAGCAAACAAACAAAUACAACUAAGAGCAGUACACCAAAAUAAAAGACAGACUUUAAAAGAGCGUACUAACGACAAGGCUCGAUCUAAGGUCACGCGAACGUAAGGAACACUUAAAACGGAACUAUGGUUGAAAAGAUAAAGCUAUCGAGAGUUUUGAAUUAUAAAAGAAAGAUAAGAGCUACAAGCUUUAUUUAUUUUAGUUGAGAAAAGCAAUGUAAAGAUAUUUCAGAGAAAUAUCCUUAGUUAGAAUUAAUCAAGUCAUAUUUAUAUUUUCAUAAGAAAAGACGGUGUAAAGCUUACUCCAAUUUUAUUUAUAAAUAUUUGAGUACAAUUUAUGCCAAUUAAACAUUUAAUUUAAAAAUAAGAUACAUGUAGACAUCUAAGCGUAUAGCUUUACAUCUCGAGUUCAACUAAGUAGAUUAAAUUAAAAACACAUUUACAUUUAUAUUAGCCAAAUUAAUAUUUAAUUAUGAAAACUCGAGAUAUAACCUAUACAGAUUUUAUUUAGAAAACAAAUUGAAUAAACAUUAAUCAAAUUGAAUUUAAUUUAUGAAACGCCGAGGUAUAACUCUAAGUGGCUUUUAAUUGGAAGAAUUAUUUAGAUAGGCAUUAAUCCAAUUAACUUUAGUUUAUGAAAAACCGAUAUAUAACCUAAUUGGCUUUUAUUUAGAAGAGGGUAUGAAGUAGGUAUUAAUCAAAUUAACAAUUAUUAUGAAAAACGAUGUUUAACGCUAAAUAGAUUUUAUUCAGAGAAGAACUCGUUUGUCAGGCAUUAAUCAAUUUUAAUAUAAAUUUUAUUUUCAAAAACAUGUGUGAAGGAAAACAUACCACUAACGUGUAAUUUACAUCAUUAUGAAUCUAACGCAACUUGAACGGACGAAAACGGAAUUAAAACGUGGGUUCUAUGGGUUAAACAAGGUUGUAGGGGCCUAAACGUAAUUAACCGUAGACUUGGAGGGUUAGCUGAGAAGAUUGGCAAGACACAAGAAAUAGUGCUCGCGAAAAGGUUAAAGGACAGGGUUAGAUUUGCAAAACCGCAGGGGCUGGACUGGAUCUAGGGAAACUAAUAGAUCCAGGGGGUUAUCUGCUAGUUUGCCAAGACACAAAGGAAAGAGGAAAAAAUUACAAAGUUCUCCAGGGGCUAAACUGAAAAACGGCGCUUCAUCUUCUUCCCCACGCCAGGAGCAGGCGGCGGACAGAAACAGAAGGCAAGGCAGUCUGUUACGGUUGCAAAAACAAGGAAAAGAGAGAAAAAGAGGGAAUCGCCGGAAACGAAGUCCGAUCUCGCGCAUGAACGGCAAAAUGGAACGAUAUCGACGAGGCGAACAAGAUGGUGUGCUCACCUUCGGCAAGAGAUGAACAAUGGUGGCGGAAAAGCUCGCCGGAGUUGGGGAAGACGACGGAGCCGACAUCGGAUUCAUGCAAUCCACCACACCACGGCGUAGAGCUCGAAGAGAGGAACUCCAUGGUGGUGUCGGUUUUCGCCGGAAGUUCACGGUUUCGCCGGAAAAGCUCGCCGGAGUUUGACAAAGACCGAACUUUGACUUCAGAUCUACGGAGUUAGGAGAUGCAACUCGUAAAAAGGUUUUCAGAUCUGAAAUCCUCGCGUCGAGACGAACGCGGUGAUAUAUAUAUACGCCACACUCGGAAAAGAUAUUUUCGAGUUGACUUUUUGAUUUUUCGGAUUUUCUGAAUUUAUUUAUCUGCGCGAAAACAAUUCCAAAAAUAGCUGGACUCGUUUUCUAAAGCAAGAAAAAUAUCUAGAAAAUUCUGAAAAAUCUGAGAUAAAUCUCAGUGAUGAAUUGGGAUGCAAGGAAUCCAAAUAAAAUACUUGGAGCUCGUGAAAAGGAUUCUAGAGCCUUCUAAAAAUUAGAUUUAGCUCUAGGAAAAGGAGAAUAAUUUCCGGAAAAAGAUGGAAAAUUCUCACAAGGGUCUGGGCAACGUCUAAACGUAUUUUCAAACUUUUGCACUCAAGAAACGCCAAGAUGCAGCGACAUGAAUGUACAGACAUAGAAUAACAUUUUUAAUUUAUGAAAGCAAACAAUUAUUUUUCCUAUACUAAAUUUCCUGUAAAAGAAAAUUAAAUAUUGGGAAAAUUUUAAAAUUAUGAGAAAAUCAUUGUUUAUUUAUCCCUUUUAUUCACAACCUGAAAUUCGGAAAUUUCAGGGUGUGACACUUUACCAAUGAUCGUUUGUGAGGAUGCAUGGUUUCCGCAAAUACCUUUGUGAAUUUCCUCUAGUAUGUCCUUGCCAUCUUGCCGUGAGACGCAUUUCAUGAGUACUCCUGAUGAUACACCUGUUGUGUAAAGCUUGUCUCCGACUAGAAUGUAGUUCUUGCUGCACCGUGAGACUUGCUCUGCUUCUGUCUUGUCUGGAGACAACUUGUGUUCUUUGAUGUAGUCGAUGAAAGGAGCUCUCCAGUCCACGUUGAUCAUCAUAACCUCCUGAUCUGGUGCGGCAGGACCUCGAUCAGUGGUUGUUGAUGGUGCCAGCUUCGUUACGGAUGGCUUGUGUAGCUCAUGGAUGAAAACCCCUGCUGGAACUUGAGCUCGAGUAGAUCCGAGCUUGGAUAAGACGUCCGCGAUAACAUUGUUGUCGCGAACUAUAUGGUGAAACUCCAAACCAGAGAACUUGUUCUCUAGCUUGCAUACUUCUAGGCAGUACGCAUCCAUGUUCUCCUUGUGCAAUCUCAGUCGUUGUUGGCUUGAUUGAUCACCACCAUUGAGUCACCAUAGACCAACAAUCGCUUGAUUCCUAGUGAGACUGCUAGGCGGAGCCCGUGCAAAAGCGCUUCGUAUUCAGUUUCAUUGUUGGAUACUUCCUAGAAGAUUUGCAAGACGUAUUUGAGUUGUUCACCUUUGGGAGAUAUUAAGAGUACUCCUGCACCGACGCUCUCGAGCUUGAGUGAUCCAUCAAAAUACAUGACCCAAUGCUCUGGACGCUCUACUGGUGUUGGUAGUUGGUUCUCCUGCCACUCUGCCACAAAAUUGACUAGGGUCUGGGACUUAAUUGCAGUCCUCGACUUGAAUUCUAGGGACAAUGCUUCGUGUUCUACCGCCCAUUUAGAUAUUCUUCCAUUGCAUCCCGAUUGUGGAGAAUUUCUCCCAGGGGGAAGACUGUGAUGACGGAGAUGUUGUGCUCUUAGAAGUAGUGUUGUAGCUUCCGCGAGAUGAGUAGUAUUACAUAUAGCAAUUUCUGGACUGGUGGGUAUCUAGCCUUGGAAUCUGACAACACCUCGCUGAUGAAGUAGACGGGCCUUUGUAUUUUGUAUACAUAGCCUAGUUCUGGUCUCUCAACCAUGAUCACCGUACUGACGACGUUAGUAGUCAUGGCGAUGUAAAGCAGCAAGUUUUCAUUAAGGUUUGGCUCCAUGAGGACUGGUGGCUUUGAUAGGAAGUCCUUUAACUGUUGUAGGGCUUGAUCUGCCUCCUCGGUCCACUAGAAUUUGUCUUGCCACUUGAGUAGUUUGAAGAAGGGUAAGCCUCAUUCUUCAAGCCUUGAGAUGAAUCUGUUGAGAGCCGCCGUGCAUCUAGUUAGCUUAUGAACGUCUUUGAUGCAUAAUGGGGCAUGCAUGUCAGUGAUGGCGAAGAUCUUCUCGGGGUUAGCUUCAAUUCCUCGGUGAUUGUUGGUGAACCUGAGUAGUUGGAGGGCAUGCCAAAGAUGCACUUUGUCGGGUUGAGCUUCCCCCGAAAUUCUUGCAAGCUCGCAAAAGUUUCUUCUAAAUUCGCAAUCAGGUCGUUGGGAUUUCUGGUCUUUAUGACCACGUCAUCCACGUAUGCCUAUUCGUUGUGGUGUAGCUGCUUCUUGAAGCACUCCUGGAUUGCCUUAAGUAGCGCCUGUGUUCUUCAACCCAAAGGACAUUUGUGUAGCAGAAAGCUCUCUAUGAGGUGAUGAAUGCAGUUUUGAUUUGGUCUUCUUCCUUGAGAGCUAUCCAGUGAUACCCCAAGUAGCAAUCAAGGGAGCAGGGUAAAGUGCAUCUAGCUGUGGAGUCGAUGACUUGAUCAAUCCUAGGGAGCCCGAAGGGAUCCUUUGGACAGUGCUUGUUGAGGUCUGUGUAGUCGACACACAUCCUCUACUCAUUGUUGUUUUUGUUUUGUAGCAGGAUGGGAUUGGUAAUCCACUCUGGAUGAUAGACUUCUUUGAUGAAGCCCACCGCGAGUAGUUUGGCUAGCUCUUUUUUGAUGGCUUCCCUUCUGUCCUGGGUGAAUCAUCGUAAGCAUUGCCUUUUUGGUGUAGCUCUUGGAUCCACGUUUAGUGAGUGCUCGAUCAACUGCUUGGGCACCCCUGACAUAUCCACUGGUUUCCACGCGAAGAUGUCUCAGUUGGCCCGGAGGUAGCUGACAAGCGCGCUUUCCUAUUUAGGAUCCAGCCCUGCACUAAUCAAGGCUAUCUUAGAGCUAUCACCAGUCUCAAGGUCAAUGGCUUUGACGUCUGCUUCACUUGCCGGCAUGACCUUCGUUGCCCCUGACUUCUUUUCUAGGAUCUCGAGUUCUGAUGGGGACAGCUUCUUGGAUGCGACGAAGACUUGUAUCAUCGAGUUUGGUACUUGAGUAGUUGCUGCUAGCUCCCCGGCUUCCGUGUCGUAGUCGUAUGACCUCUUCAAGUCUCGACGUAGGGAGAGUACUCACUUUGGUCCUGGCAUCUUGAGUACUAAGUACACGUAGUACGGGAUGGCCAUGAAUUUGGCCAAUGCUGGUCUUUCGAGGAUAGGAUGGUACAAUGUUUCGAAGUCUGCCACCUCGAACCGGAUGUAUUCUGUAGUGUUCUUUGAUCCCAAAGGUAACUAGCCAAACCACCUAACCGAGGGGUAUAACCGCGUUGCCUGAGACAAUCCCAUAGACUAGAGAGUUCAUUGGGGUGAGCAUAUCUGUGAUGUCGAGGCCCAUCCUCUUCAGUGUCUUGGCGAAUAGUACGUAGAGACCGCUACCGCCAUUGAUGAGUACUUUACUGAGUCUGGAUCCAGUGACAACAGGGUCCAGGUGUGACAUCCCUAGUGUUUAAAAGGAUAAAUCAAGAGAAAUUAAGAAGGAAAUUAGAAACAAAUCAAAGUUGCCAAGUGUCAAAUUCAAAAACCAUUCAAAUUCUAGCUGUGUGUAUAAACACCCUCAAAUGGCACUCACAUGGGUAGGAAAUAUAAAUAGAUUUUUAUAUGAGAACAUGAAUUUUGGCCAAUAUAAAAGUUGUAGGACUUUUCAAAAUGAGCAACUUUCAUAAUUAGUACUUUCUCUGAUUUUGAGUGGAAGGCAUUUAAAAACUAGGUCAACAUUUGGUCAAUUUCAAGUCAAAUUCAAAUCAACCUUGCCCGGUGUUCCACCAAAGUUUUGGCAAGUUUAUCUCCAAAUCUGUUGUGUUUUUCACCCAUCAACCUUUGUAGAAGUUGGAGCCCAUAGUUCAAGCUCAAAGUUUUAUAUUUGAAAAUUUUCAUGUUUAGUUCAAAUUUUGAAAGCAAAUCUAGCCCAAAGAUCUUGCCUACGCGUGCCACGUACGAACCCAUGUGCGCCCAGUGUGCAGUCACCACGCGUGGCGAGCGUGACGUUGCCGCGCGGCGCCACCCGCCUGGCACAGCACCGUCGGCCAACCACCAGCGACCACAAGAUGACUCGAGCCCAGCCUUCGCCAACCGCGCGAUCUCCCCCUCCCCAUGCCAAAUCCUCGCCGGCCAACCCCGAGGCGCGGAGCAUGAGCGCACGAGCUCUGCACGCCACCGUCGGCUAGUCCCAGCGUGCCUCCACAUGCUGCCUCUGCCAGGUCACCGCCAGUCCACCCAACUGUGCCAUGAGCCCACCCUGACGUCGCCAGCUCCCCCAUGCCGCAUUGUCGCUAUAAAAGGGCGCUCGCCCAGCUCGCCGGCGCUACACCCUUCCACUUUCCCCCCCUCCGUCAAGCGCCAUUGAGGCCCCUCCGCCGAGCUCCCCCAUCCAAGCCAUGCCGAAGUUGGUCGAGCCCUCCUUCAUGCCACCUCAGCCUUACCGCACAUUCCUGAGCCCUUCCCCGGCCUUCUCCAUCGCUGCUCUCGCUGGAGAUGAUGCCAGAGCGCCUCACUCGAAGCUUCACCGCGGAGUACCGACACCGGACCUCCUCUGCCCUCGACCCCCAUAGCCAAACGACCAUUGGUGAGCCGCUUGUCACUCCCCUACCACUAGCCCGCACCCACCCCGCCGGACCUCGCCGGAUUUCCACCGACGCGCCGCCGGCCGACCCUCAAGGGCUGCAUUGCAAACCCCAUUUUUGUUCUAGGGUCCUUAGUGCAAGUAUGUAGGGGCUGGUUGUGAAGCUUUAAAUGAUCCAAGGGCCUCAGCGCGAAACGUGUUUUCCUUUUUUGGUUUUAAAUUGAAUUAAAUGGCUAAAACUUGAAAAAUAUCUAGGAAAAGGUAGAAAAAUGAGAAAAAUAUGAAACUUGUUUUUCUAGGUUCUUAAUCACGUAUAGAUUAGUUUAAAGAUAUUCAUGUGCAUGUUACUAUCCUGUAUCUAGCACUAGAAUUUAUUUUGUAUAAAAGCCAUUAAAUGCCUUAUAAAUCAUAUAGUGCUCUAAAAAUGCUGGAACCACUUUUGUUAGCUUCCUUUUGACAUGUAUGUUCUGGAUAUUUAAUUUUUGAUACUGGAACACAUGAUGUUCAUACUAUUUUAAAUACAAAUACUUAAUUGCUGUCGUAAUCUUGUUAAUUGCAUGGUAAAUAGAGGAAAAUAGAUAAAAAUGCAAAGUAAAUUUGUUAGAUUCUUGAUGUCCAUGUAUGAUUAGUAAAAAUACUUGCUCCUGUAAAAUAUGUGUUUUCCAUUGCUUAAUAAUACAUGUUUUUUAAUCUUCUUAUUAUGAAAUAAAUAGUUUUCAUGCUCAUAAACCCUUAAAAAUUCACAGUAGCAUAUAUUAGUGUCGUUAACCCUUCUAUAAAAUUUGUGGAACUAAACUACUGAUGAAACUCUAGUUGAAAAAAUCAUUCUUCAUGUUCUCCUAUUUAACACUGUUUGAUUUUUAAUAAAUUCUGUAGAUGUCAAAUUCAUCUCAAAAUUUUUAUAGUAAAUAUCUUGUGUAGAGGGAAAGUUCCUGUAAAAAUUUCAUGUUCAUAUAUUAACAAGUGCUCCCUGCUAGCUUGUUUAUUUAUAACAAUUAUUAUUAGGACUCAUAGGCUCAUAAGAGAUUAAUCGUGCUUUUCUUCAGUAGCAUUAUCACUCUUAAAAAUGGUUUCUAAGCAGUACAACAUGACACCAACUUUAUCUUAUGAAUACUAAGUUCUAAGAAUAUUAUAUGUGUACACAAUCACCGUCAAAGUAAAACCCAGGUUUUCUUCACAACGCACCUUGUUUUAUGAAGAAAAGAUUUGUUACAAACUUGUCUAGGUGAAUGUGACCAAAAGAAAGAAAGGUUUAAAAUCUUGUCUAGGUAAAUUUGGUCGAAGAUGCACCUUAUGUUUCUACAAUGAUUAACGAAAUGCAACCUACAUUAUGAAUGGUUAUAAAUGAAAUCUUAUGCAUAUGCAUCUCAUGUAGAAGCUAACCUCGCUGACGGCACGUACGAGUUGGUUCCGGAAGCUAAAGAGGAACACUCAGCUACUGCAGUGAACCUGAUCAAGACCGCUCAAGACCUGAGCCAAGCUUCGGAAGAGCCACAGGCUAGCGUAGGACAAGAAGGCAAGUCCCGGAGCAUAACCUUGGUUUCUAAAAUUAUGCAAUACCUAUGUUACUUAUGUUUGUGCAUUAAGUUCAUAGGAGUUGCUUGAAACCUUAGUUGCAUGCUCCUAGUACCCAUGAUUUGAAUACUAGCAUGUUAAGUCGAGUAGUUGCUAUGCUAAAUAGGGACACGGUAAAAGUUAAGUGAUUUCCUGUCGCUCGCGAGCUAUAGGAGUUGCCUAUUUACUUAUGUUGGAAUCAUAAGGAUGACAGGCGUGGCUUGGUAAUAUGUUCUGGAAUGGUGGAUGUCCCGCUUGUAUAGAGGAAAACCUGCUAAGGUCGAAACGUGUCGGUGAUUCUGGUCAAGUGUUUGAAAGUACUAAACACAUACCGAGUAUGGGAUCAGGAAGCCUAGUACCUGAUUGAACCAGGGCAUGAAAUUUAUCCCUGUUCUCUCUGGAAUCGGGUUCCCCUGAUGCAUCAUGUGGGUACAAGUGCAGCCUCGGUACAUUGUCGUUCCGGGACCGUUGGGGCAUUGUAUCUAAGGGAAGUAGGCCCUGGCCACAUGCCUAGGGAUCGAUGGAAACGACUGACAUAUGUGAACCGUGGGGGUACGCAUAUGUCGUGUGUUUAGGUCCACCUUGGAAGGUUAAGAAAUUCAAUUCGAAUCAUCUGCUUCUCAAAGUUUGGGACUACUUGAUCACUAUGCUACAUUGAGUAAGAAGAUGAACAAGGAUGAUGAUUAAUAGUGAUGCUUGCAUUAAAUUGCUUGUUCUACCAUGCUUGCUCAGAAUAGGUGCUUACCUAGAGUGGCUAAUCAACUAGAACUUCAUGCUAAAACUUGAAAGUAAUGAUCCACUUUAGAAGCUUUUGGCAAAAUAAACCCCUCAGCUAAAAAGCCUUGCAUGUCUAGGAGUCGGUGGAUUAGAUAUCACCUAACGGGUAAGUCUUACGGAGUAUUAGUAUACUCAGCCUUACCUGUGGCUAUAUUUUCAGGUAAUGUAGGAUAUGGUUGCUAGUGUGACUUGGCCGUGCCAGAUCCCUCUGGGAUGGACAGCUGAGUGGGACCCAUCCUCGGUGGACGAGGACUGUGGUGAGUGAUAUCAUGGAUGGCUUCACCAUAGUAUCGUGUAUUGAUGUUAGAACUAUCGUUUAUUUCCGCUGCUUUGAACUCUGAACUACUCAUGCUUUUGAACACUUGGUUUGUAAUAAAUUAAUUUGGAAUCUCUGUAAUAUUCAUCUGGAUUGUUAUAAUCUUUGGGCUUGUCUUCAUACGAGUGUUGUAUGCUUGUUUCGAUCGGAAAUACGAGGUUGUAUCAGGUGAAACCCGACAAACUACCAUUUUGGUUCAAUUAAAGUGUAUAUUCGCAUUUGAGGUGAUGUUUAGCACACUUUAGUCGAGUUAAUUUGGGUGGUUCUGCCACACCAGGAUGAAGGGAUACCGUCCUGGGUCUAAGAAACUAGUCCAUUGGUCCUUCCUGGAGAAGGUAAUUGGCACCUCUGACCAUUUGAGGAACGUUAGUGUUGUUGCUUCGAUGGACAUAAUCUCUCGAAGGGCGAGCUUCUGGGGCUGCUUAGUAGCAGUAUCUGGUGUGCCGCCAAAGAUGACAUUACGAUUGUCACCAUCGUCUUCGACUUCCUUGGCCUUGCCCUUGUCUUUAGUGCCAGAUGGUUCUGACAGCUCUUUCAUUACUCUGUGUAGACUAAAACAAUCUAUUAUAGAGUGCUUGUGGUAUGGGUGCCAUGGGCACUGUUUCUUCAGAAGCUCGUUGAACAAGGACUUGUCUUGAUUCCUGCCGCCACCUUUCUUGGAUGACUGUGAUAUUGCCAUGACAGUAUUGUUUGGCUUUUGCUUGCGGUUGUGACCUCUGGAGUAGUUAUUUCGGUUGUCAUUAUUAGAGCGAUCAUUGCGGUUCUUGUCAUUGCGCUGGCCGUUGUUCUGAUUAUUGUUGUUCUGGCCCUUGUUGCGAUUGGACUCGAACCUUUCAAUCUCCCUAUCUUCUUCAUCUACCCACACCUGUACCAUGAUCCUGAGAGAUUUGACUUCAGCGGGGCAUCUUCUGCCGAAGUCCUGGAUCAUCCGGUGGUCGUGGAGGCCAUUCUGGAAGUAUUCUAUAACAUUGCGCUCCAUGAUGUCCAUGAUUGUAGCCUUCGUGUCGAAGAAGCGACGUAGAUAACUCUGCUGGGUCUCGCUUUCUUGUUGUUCAACUUGAGACAAGUUGAUCCUAUUGCCAGGAUGCUGCAUUGCCCCUGCGUAGUUGUUGGUGAACGCCACCUUGAGGUCCUUCCACAUGUCGAUGGAGUUCUUAUCUAAUGAUUCGAGCCAUGGGAGUGGCGCCACCUCCAUGCAGAUGGGAAAGUAGAUGAAUUUGGUGUCGUUGUUUCCUCCAGCUGCUUUUACUAACAGCGAGUAGCAUUGGAGCCAUUGGAAUAGGUCCUGCUUGCCAUUGUACUUGGUGAUACCCAGGGGUUUGAAUUUUUCAGGUAGAUUUUUCCUCGUCACACAUCUGGACAAGACAGGGAAACCAUCAGAAUCAUCCCUUGGGUGUUUGACUUCUUGGUCGCGCUCGCAGCACCGUCUGUCAAUGAUGGUACUGGCAUCGCGGCCGGCAUUGAUCUUGUUGUGAAGAUUCUCUAUUAGGUGUUCAGGCUCUGGAUUAGCCCCACGGUGGCCACGAUCUUCCGAGGGUCCCGCCCGACUACCCUCUUCUCCAUCUUGGUUUGGUCUGGCACCUCUGAGUUGGCUUGGUCUGGACGAAGGGCCUCUAUGGCUACUGCCAUGUUAACUACACUGGGAUAGGGAGCGUUGGACUAAAGUAUCAGGUUUUGCUGAUCAUGUUGUUCAUAUGCGCGUUCUGCCAGUUCAGCCAUCUGUCUGGUGUAGUUGUUUUGCGGCAUGGCACGGAUGAUCAGAUCAAUGGAUGCGAUGGUGGCGAGUGGAGUACAAUGCUGACGCAUUUGAAUUGCUUCAAAGGCGUUAUCCAGGUUAUUGAUUUGUAGGUCUGCUACAAGGCAGCGGCAGCGCUUUGCCCUCACGGCGUUUCUUGCUUGCCGUCAAGUUCUUUGAGCUUUGGUCUCUUCUCCAGCAAUGUUGGCUCGGAGCUCAUCCUGUGAAACAUCAUCUGGGUGAUGCUUGUGUCGCGGGUUUCUGUCUCAUUGCUCUUCUUCUUUGUCCUCUUGUCCAGCAAUGAGAGUGAAGAGUUCUCGUUCUGGAGAAUAGCUUCCUGAGCUUGAAGUGAUGACCUCCGUGGUGCCGCCUUCCUCGUAGAUGGGCGACAAAGGAGCUCCCUCCUGGUAUGGGAGGGUGUCGAGAUAGGCGAUGAGACAUGAAUCGUCGUCCUUAGCGAGAGCGGGUGGCUUCAUGUUGGACCAGUAGAUGAAUCUUCCUUGAGGAGUUGAUGUGAUCACCUAGCUCUGCUUCGGAGCUGAUGAAGGGAUCUCCUCGUCUGGGUUUAGGUAGUAGGCGAGAUCCUCGAUCGUAUCCAUAUCGGACUAUGAUCUGGAUAGGGUAGCCUGAUAAAUAGUAGCCGCGUUAUGGAGUCGGAUCGGGAAUCAACUUGGGUUGUAGUCCGACUUGCAUGAUGGCUUAUGCGCUGGCUCAUGAAAGUCAAUCCGACUGGUGUGUUCCAAAAUGAAAUGGAUCAAAUUGCAUCCCAGAUGCCAUCAUGGGAGGACGAAGCAAACAUUGGUGUAGGUUCUGGGGACGAAGAUAAUGACAGAUCGGAGAUAGGAGCAGGGAUGUGGGUAGAGGGCGUGUGGCAAGAUCCUCUAGAUCUACACCCUUUGCCUCCGAGAGAAGGCCGUUCAACGGUGGAUUUUGAUCCGGAUUACAAUCCGAAUCCAAGUGAGGUAAUGCCAAAUAUAAUUGCCACCCAAUAUUUAGUGCACAUUUUCAUGUACUAAGUGCAAUGACUUUGAUUUCCUGAACCUUGUGAUUUGUGUAGAUGGCUCCCGCCGGAAGGAGUAAACGUUGCGGCCAACCCCCUACCCCCCAGAAGAAUUCAAAGACAGUGGCAGCUCGGCUCCCGAAGCUGAAACUAAAACCUCUUGGAGUCAGAGUAAAAAAAAAGAUGGGGUGAGCGAGGUAGAAACCAAUACCAUGAAGGCAAAUGGAGAGUUGAUGUUGUCAGCCCAGUAGGAGAGCUAAUAGAGCCUCUGAUGGUGCGUUCAUAGUUUUAGAACGCAAUAGGAGCAAUAAUUAGAACAAAGGAGAUUUUGGCUCCCUCGAUCUCUGAUUGGCUAUUGGUUCCUGAGGGAAGGAAAGAAACAAUGUAGAAGCUUUUGACAAACAUUUAUUUUGCCUAGAUCAGAAGAACUCAGGAAGCAGGUAAAGCAUUAUGCCAGGAAGCAGCUCAGUGAAGUUUUCUGCCAGUGGAGGGGUGAGCUGAAUGACAAGUAUGUCAAAAAGGGCCUAACCCCCUUUAAUGAAUACGGGAGCAUCACACCAGCCCAAUGGGAAGAGUUCUAAGGCAAAAGACCUCUCCGAAAGCUUUAGUCCUAAGCCAGAGAAAUAGAGAACUUGCGCUAAGCAACAUAUAUAAAGUUCACCUUGGGUUGGGUGGGAACCGAGGGAAGAUCGACAAGUGGGAGUAGGAUAGGGAGGUAGCAAUAGCCGCAGGGCAACCUGACCCUUUUGAAGGCUUGGAUGAGUGUGGCUGGUAGUGGCUUGCAGCAAGAAAGCCUAUAAUAGUAGAUGGUAAACCUACAUUUUCAACACCUGAAACCAAUCAUGUGGUAGAAAAGAUAUACGAUAUUUCCAAGCGUUAGAGGAAAUAAGAGUUCAUACCAAAUAGGGAUAAAGAUGUGCUCAGUUUGGCCCUUGGAAUGAAAGAGCAUAGAGGCCGUGUUAGAGGGGUUUCCUCGAAGUUGAGCAUCAAGGAUGGGUUCAAGAGGGUAGGGCUAGCUACAAGAGCCACACCCGUUACAAGGAGGAUCUAAUAGAGGUGGCAGAGAAAGCACUAGAAACUAGGUUUAAGGAGUUUUUGCUGGCAACACUUGAGGAGCAGCAACAAAGUGGUGAGGCCAAUGUACAGGUGCCGAUGUACAUCCGCUAUUAGGUGAAGCGAAUAGACUAGUUUAUGCUCCGAGCAGUGUCGGCUCUACGAUAGCACAAUCAUAUCUGAUAGAUUCUAUAUGCAUUAGUGCUCCUUGCUUGUUGCACGUUCUGGUUGGCAGAUCUUGCGAGACAAAGGAGGUUGCCAAGGGCCUUGUGAUUCCAGUUGGCGGUUUGUUUGAGGGAAAACCUAUCCUGCGCUAUUAUUGUUGACACCAUUUUUUGACAUAUGUCAAAGAUGGCAUCAAAAGGAAGCAGAGAUGCCAGUGCAUCGUGGAAGGACAACAGUUAGUGGAAUUGGCAGGUGAGGUUGCAGAGGGUUUAGCCGAUGGAGCAUGAUAGGGCCUAGCCGAUGGGAUCACAGGGGCGUAGCCGAUGGAAGAUGAUGGAGGUGUAGCCAAUGGAGUCAGCCGAUGCGAGCAGGAGGGUUCUAGCCAAUUGAAAAUGUUGGAGGUUCGGUCGAUGAGGAGCAGGUUUUAGCCGGUAGAGGCCAAGUUCAUUUCUGACUCCUGCGCGAGUCAUUUUUAUUUAGAAAGUUUGUUUCUUUAGACAUAGAUCUUAUAAUUUGUCGUAACCGACUAAGAUUAGAAAUCUUGAUGUAUAGGGUAUAAAUAGGGGCCUUGUAAGGUCUCGAAACACACAUCAUAAUCAAUACAAAUCUACUAUUUUUGCAAUUUACUUUCAAGUCGGCGACUUCGCCAUCGUGGUCUCUUCUUCACGAGUUCUUCCAAGCUAGCUGGGCUGCAUCGCUUCGAUCUCCGGCUAGACUGUAAGUUCCACGUUACCGAAUACUUCCUAGGCUUUAACUUCGGACGCAUCGCUGUCAUUUCAUCUAGAUUUAUUCACAAGUUAUUGGUAUAACUAGAGCUACAAGUUUUAUCUGUUAAAUCUUGUUGUUUUAGUUUUUAUCACGGUUAUCCAGCUUAGAACAUGUUCUGAUCGGCUUUUGCUUUAUCUUCUCAUACUAAUUUACCGUCACACAACCGGUUAGAUCUGUUUUAAGUGUUGUUCACGUAGUACUGUUUAGGUUGUACUUUAUGCUUCCUUUACAUCUACUACAUCCACAUCGGCUGAUCUAGCUGAUUGUCCUUGCUCGUGUCGGCAGCCUUGCCGAUACAUCCUGUGGAGCGAUUCGGAACGCCAGCCGAUUUACUCUUAUAUUUGACGUUUUACCUAUCCUUGUCAAUCAACAGGUCAGAUUGACCAGCACGCCAUGGAUCAAUAGGUCUACAACCCGAACAGGAGCAAAGCAGAUUCUCCAGGGUUCCGUGUGUUAGUGCACGGGAGUCAUCUCUCGAUUUUUGCAUCAACACACUUUUGGGCACGCCCGGUGGGACAAUACAAAGCCUCAACAUGUCUACACCGAAGACUGCCGAAGUUUUGGAAGACAACAUCAUCGACCGGAUGACAACAUCAUCGAGAUCACAGAGAGUGAGCACCAGGAAGAUCAGAGGAGCGAGGUGGCAAGGGCGGUAGAAGAGUUCAGAUUGCUAUGCUUGAAAUCUUUCAGCCGUACUAGGAAAGGGGAACCUGUCAAGAAGCACGCCCUUCCAACUCCUCAUCAAAUCACCAUUGCUGAAGACACAGGAAAGAUGCAGGAGAUGAUUGAUUAGGCUCUCAAUCACGCGCUGAUCAACCAAGUAGCAGUAAUGUCCAACACCGUGCACAACGCUGUCCUCAGCACUCUCUUCGGAGGAAGCUCUUAGGGGUUUCACGGUCCAGCGUACGAGCCACCCAGGAGCGUUCCGGUCAGAAGCGGGACGAAUCCAUCUAUGGCAGUACAGUCGCCUUCUUAGCUGAUCCAGAUAUCAACUGGGGGUUGUGGUGCUACACUACUCCAGAACACCAACGCUGCGGCACCCUUGAUCAAUCAGACGGCAAACCAGCCUGCUCCAGCGUACACCGUGCCAUCGCCGUUCCCAGCAUCGGUGCCAUGGGGGGCAACGGUGAUGCCAUUUGGACCCGUUUGGAAUCCGGCCACUAGAUAUGGGAUGCCCCCAGGGUCAUUUAUUCCGAUCGCGAGAUCUCCAGUACAACCUCCGUCGCCAUUGGCUCCGCAGCUAGCGGUCCAGCGUUAUCAGCAGAACCCACCUGAAGUCAGUAGGGAGGAUGGCAUUCCGGAUCCUCACAGGGAUGGGUCACCAAUAGUGGUGUACGAUGAGGCAAUCGGCGUGCCGCGGCACGUUGAUUCUUCCCACAAGUUGACCCAGCCGCAGCACCUGCAACAUACGUCGGCUAUCCAACAGCCGAUUGUGGUGCCGUAAAUUCAGCAGCAGCCGCAACAGGUUGAUUAGGCCGCAAAGAUAGCUGAGGUGAUGCAAGAUCAGUUCGGGCUAAAACCUAAAGUACAGACCUACACGUGCAGAACAUCGUACCCACCGGCCUACGACAUGUUGCCAUUCCCUCACCGAUACAAGGUGCCCAAUUUCACCAAGUUCUCGGGACAAGACGACACAUCUAUGAUGGAGCACGUCAAUAGGUUCAUCAUUCAGUGCGAGAGGCAGCUGCGCAAGAUGCUCUGAGGGUUUGGCUGUUCUCGUCAUCCCUGUCCGGGUUAGCCUUCCAGUGGUUCACAACACUUCCACCUAACUCCAUUAUCACCUGGACCAAUCUGGAGAAACAGUUCCACAAAUACUUCUUUGCUGGGGUUCACAAGAUGAAGCUGAUGGAUCUAACUAAUCUCAAGCAGAGGAGUGAUGAAUCGGUGGCCAGCUUCAUCCAACAGUUUAGAGAAGUCAGGAACAAGUGCUACAGUUUGAUCUUGAGCGACAACCAACUAGCCGACGCAGCUUUUCAAGGGCUCCUUCUGCACAUCAAAGAAAAAUAUACUUCAUAGGAGUUCGACAGUUUGAGUCAGAUUGUACACCGACUGUUGAACCAAGACAUGCGCCCGUUUGAUUAGAGAAAGAAUUUCCAGAAGAAGGUGGCAUACGUAGAGUGUUCGGACUCAGAAGAAGAAGCAGAGGUUGGCUUGGCAGAGUGGGUUAAGACUAAAAAGCCGAUCUCAUGCUCAUGCGGCAAGAAGGAGCCUGAAAGAUUCGGGUUCGUAUCUCCAAGGCCGAUAAGAUCUUCGACUUGUUGUUGCAAAAAGGUCAAAUCAAGUUCUCACCGUACCACACGAUCCCGUCGGCCAAAGAACUUAAGAAGAUCAAGUACUGCAAGUGGCACAAUGCCACGUCUCAUGACACUAAUGAGUGCAAAGUCUUUUGCCAGCAGAUCCAAUCGGCUAUUGAGCAAGGGAGGCUCAAGUUUUAAGCUCCUUCAAAAUCGGCAAAGCCAAUGAAGAUCGACCAACAUCCGUUCCCAACCAAUAUGGUAGUGGUUGGGGGUAAAAGUGCGCCUCCCACAAAGGUGCUGACAUCAGAAUCGGCCAGGAGGAGUGAAGCUGUGGACCCUAGAGUACAGGUGUCAGCCAACGACAUCAAGGGAAAGGGUCAGUUGCAACAAUGGGAAAUGUCAGCAAGGCCUUGACGACCGAUCACCUCCCAAGAGUUUCUCAACAAGUUCCAGAGACAGCAAGAACAGGUAAGGCACCGGGAAGAGAUGACACGUCACCAUGAAGACCACUGGAGAUGCACGUUCUUCAUAUACUGCUGGGAGGAGGGAAUCAAGCUACCAUCGGUUGACAACUACCCCGAAUGCAACGGAUCAUACCAAGGCAACCGAUCAUCCAAAAGACCAUGCUUUGAUGACAGGAAUCAAAAGCCAAUCAACAGGGAUAGACCUUACCAUGAUGAUAGGCGCAUCCCAAGGCAUGAUCGGUUGGGGGGCAGGAUCAGUAUACACGAUCGGUUGGGGGGCAGGCUAAAUGUACCCAACAGACUAGAGGAAAGAGCCAAUGCAAGGUUCCUCGACAAAGGGCCGUUGUGUUGUGAGCCGGAGCGGUAGCGUGUGUCAUGAGACAAAGCUAUAGCACACCCUAGAUGGUGCCCAGCGGGUUGGACUAAGUCCCAGAGGAGAAGGGUUCAAUGCUUGCGACAAUGGGAGCAGCAGGAAGAGGAACAAAGGCGUUCUUCGGAAAGGAAAGGGGGCAAAUCCCAGGUGUGGUGCAUCAAAGACACAGUCGAUGAUGAAGAUAACAAUCCUAGGUCAGCUGCCGAUGUCAACAUGGUUUUCGUCUUGCCGAUGGAAUUCAUGGCUUUAACCGACCAUGAGGCAACAAAAGCAGAAUAGGGGAUGGCGCAGUUAACCUUGGAGCCGAUGCCAGCCACCUUUGAAAAACCUGAGGAUGAAAAACGUCGGCACCUGAAAGCCCUCUUCCUCAAGGGGCAAGUCGACGGAGGCUGAUUACCAAGCUUCUGGUGGAUGGCGGUGCAGUCAUGAACAUCAUGUUGUACGCCAUGUUUCGCAAGCUCGGCAAGGGAGAAGAAGACUUGAUCAAAACAGACAUGAUGCUGAAGGACUUCGAAGGAAACGUCUCUUUGGCCCGAGGGGCACUCUGCGUCGACCUUACCAUCGACAGUAAGACCCUACGUACUACUUUCUUUGUCAUUAAUGGUAAAGGGUCCUAUAACAUGCUUCUGGGUCAAGAUUGGAUUCACGCCAACUACUACAUCCCAUCUACAAUGCAUCAAUGUCUCGUCCUAUGAAUCGGCGACUUAGUUGAAAUGGUCACCGUCGAUUCUUCUUUCAGUGUCGCUGCAGCCGACGCACAACAGUGGAAUUACGACAGCUACAUAUCUGGCAGAGUCUGGGAUACAGACUUCCUUAAGAUGUCCGAUUUCGGGCUACAACCAAUCCAAGUAGUUGGCUCUAAAGAAUUGUCCUGAUGGAUGAGUUCACCCAAGAAGAUGGGAAGCUGGGGCACGGGUUUACGUCGGCCGAUGAGUUAGAUAUGGUAGAUCUUGGAGAUGGGAGCAAGCCAAGGCCGACGUAUAUUAGUGCUAAGUAAGAUCCUGAGUAUAAGCAUGAACUAAUCAAGCUGUUAAAAGAAUUCAAAGAUUAUUUUUCUUGGGAGUAUCAUGAAAUGCCUGGUUUAGAUCGAUUUAUUGUCGAACAUUGGUUACCAAUAAAACUAGGAUAUCGGCCGUAUCAGCAACCUGCACGAUGUUGUAAUCUUAAGAUUUUACCUGAUAUUAAGGCUGAGAUUACAAGAUUAAUUGAAGUAGGGUUUAUUCGGCACUAUCGGUAUACUGAGUGGAUUUCUAAUGUGGUUCCCAUGUACAAGAAGAAUGGAAAACUGCGCGUUUGUGUAGAUUUCAGGAACCUCAAUCAAGCCACACCAAUGCAUGGUUAUCCGAUGCUGACAGCUGAUGUGUUGAUAAAUGCUACUUCAGGAUACAAAGUCAUUAGUUUCAUGGAUGGCAACGCUAAAUAUAACCAAGUAUUGAUGGCCGAAGAAGAUAUUUCCAAGACGGCCUUCAGGUGUCCUGGACACAUCGGUUUAUUCGAAUGGGUGGUCAUGACCUUCGGAUUAAAAAACGUUGGGGCUACAUAUCAGCGAGCCAUGAAUUACAUCUUCCAUAAACUUAUCGGCAUCCUAGUGGAAAUUUAUAUCAAUGAUGUAGUAGUCAAAUCGAAAGGGUACCGAGAGCAUCUAGCCGAUUUGCGUGAAGUCCUGGAAUGCACAAGGAAACAUGGGUUGAAAAUGAACCCGAAUAAAUGUGCUUUUGGUGCGUCGGCUGGAUAGUUCUUGGGAUUCAUGGUUCACGAGCGAGGCAUCGAAAUUAAUCAGAAGAUCAUUUGUGCUAUCAACAAAGUUGUGGCUGCGCAAAAUAAGACUGAGUUGCAGUCGUUAAUCAUUAAGAUCAAUUUUAUCUGAAGAUUCAUAUCAAAUCUGUCUGGAAGGAUUUAAUCUUUCAGCCCGUUGCUUAAACUAAAAGCCGAUCAAGAGUUUGUUUGGGGGGCAGAGCAGCAAAAGGUGUUGGAUGAUAUCAAACAAUACCUGGUGCCACCUCCUAUAUUGGUUCCUCCACAAGCUAACAAGCCAUUCAGGUUGUACCUCUCAAUAGAUGGGUGUGCUAUCGGUUUGGCUCUUGUCCAAGAAUUUGAAGGGAAGGAACAAGUAGAUUAUUAUGUGAGCAGAAGACUCUUGGACGCAAAAACCAGGUACUCCCCAGUCGAGAGGUUGUGUCUGUGCCUGUAUUUCUCCUGCACUAAGCUUAGACAUUAUUUAUUAUCCACCGAGUGUGUUGUGGUAUGCAAGGAUGAUGUUGUCAAAUACAUGUUGUCGUUGCCGAUUCUAAAUGGAAGGAUUAGGAAAUGGAUUCUAGCUCCGUCUGAGUUUGAUCUAAAGUAUGAAUCAACUAAAGCUGUCAAAGGGCAAGUCAUGGCCGAUUUUGUUACUCAGCAUUGUGGGCCAGAGGUUGCUAUUGUUGAGGUAGCCCCACAGACUUUAUUUUUUGAUGGAUCUUUAUGUGGGGCUGGAUCAGGAAUCGGCAUAAUCCUUAUAUCGCCUUGGGGGGCAAACUACGAGUUCUCGCUGCUGAUUGAGGCUUCUGCUACCAACAACUAGGCCGAGCAUCGAGCCGUUUUGAAGGGGAUCCAAUUGCUGAGAGAAAUCAAAGCUGAUGCUGUUGAGAUGUUUGGGGAUUCUAUGCUUAUUGUCAACUAGCUGACUGGAGGAUGUGAAUGCAGAGAUGAUAUUUUGAGAAUUUACUAUGAGCAGUGCCUUCAGUUACUUAAAGAAUUCAAGAGUGUGAUUAUUGAGCAUAUUCUCAGAGAUUACAAUAAGGAUGCUAACAAACUUGCUCAGCUUGCUUCUGGUUAUCGGACGAUUUGUGAUGCUAUGGCCUUGGAGUUAAUGGCUGAUGAUUGGAGGAAAGAAAAAACAGAUUACUUAAAAGAUCCCUCCAAGAAAAUCGAUAGGCGAGUUCGAUUUCAGGCUUUGAAAUAUGUGUUGCUUGAAGACGACCUUUAUUAUCGGACAGUUGAUGGGGUCCUACUUAAAUGCCUCGAGGCUAAAGAAGCCAAGAAUCUGAUGGGCGAAAUUCAUGGAGGGGUUUGCAGAGCUGAUCAAUCGGCUUUCAAGAUGAAGUGCAUGAUUAGAAGCAAUGGGUAUUAUUGGCCAACUAUACUUGAAGACUGCUUUAAAUACUAUAAGAGUUGUCAAGAUUGUCAGAAGUUUGGCAAUGUGCAAAGAGCCCCGGCGUCGGCUAUGAAUCCUAUAAUAAAGUCAUGGUCAUUCAGGGGCUGGGGUAUGGAUCGGCCAGAUUUAUCCACCUUCAAACAAGGGUCAUAAGUUCAUACUAGUAGCAACGGAUUAUUUCACUAAAUGGGUUGAAGCAAUUCCCCUGAAAAAUGUGACGUCGGCAAGCAUGGUUGAUUUUGUCAAAGAACACAUCAUCUAUCGAUUUGGUAUCCCUCAAACUAUCACAACCGAUCAAGGGACAAUGUUCACUUCGGGAGAGUUUGAGGAAUUUGCUACUGGUAUGGGAAUUAAGUUUUUUGACUUCUUCUCCGUAUUAUGCCCAGGAAAAUGGUCAAGCUGAAUCAUCCAACAAGCGGAUCAAUAAAUUAAUUAAGAGGAAGAUCAAAGAGCAGCCAAGGCGUUGGCACACUACGUUGAGCGAAUCCUUAUGGGCGUAUUGGAUGGCUUGUCACGGAGCCACAAAAGUAUCCCCUUAUCAGUUGGUUUAUGUACAUGAAGCAGUUCUACCUUGGGAGUUAAAAACUGGAUCUAGGCGUGUGUUGUUGCAAGACCAGUAACAGCCGAAGAAUACUCUACUCUGAUGAAAGGGGAGUUGGAAGACCUAGCGGGUCAUCGGCUAAGGGCUUUGAUCAGCAUCGAAGAAACUAAGUGGCUAGAUGGUAUGACAAAAAGGUCCAGGUCAAGGAGUUUUCCCAAGGAGAUUUAGUUGAUGACAUUCCAGAUUUACCAGAUUGUUCUCGAAAAUUUGAGUAUGGAAAACCAUUACUACCCGAUUGGACAAUCGCCAGGAUUCCACGUGAAAUGCAAAGGAUGCACAAUUGGUACACGAGGGCAUGUAGACUUGGGCUCAGAACCAUAUGGGCACGGUACUUACCGGAUGUGUUCGGACCUCCAUUAUAUGAGGAUUCCAGCUAAAUCUUCUUUGAUUUUGAGACAUCCAUGAUGUGUUGCGCCUCUCAAAGCUAGAGUUAUAGCUCGUGAGAUUAUGGUGCAUGUAAGUGCUUCAUCGAUGCUAAUAUCUUGUAUAUAUGCUAUGGCCUACACAUGUAUUAUACAUAACUAAUUAAUUGCGAUACAUUAUACAGGAUGCAAGAAAAUGACGUGGAUGUUAUAAAGGAGAAUGCUGGAUAUCUUGAUCCUUAUGCUAUUUGCGAAGUUAGGCACAACUUCCCGAGCCAUUGGGGAGACAACUAUGACAAGCUAGCUAAGUACAAGACAAAGAAGGACAAAAGGGUGAAAUGAGUACGACAACAUAAAAAAGCUAUGAGGAGGGUUUCAGCCUACAUAAUGUAUGUGAUGCUUAAGUGGCAAGAUAGGCAUUACAUAUGGGUGCCCUACAACUUCUAGUGAGUCUAAAUUUUUACCAUUUGUUAUAAUAUGUGCACUUGCUCCUUCUUGCCUAAAAAACCUUAUAUAAUAUUUUUGCAGGGGUCACUGGAUUGCUUUUAUGAUAUAGCCAAAGAAUGGAGUUGUGACUGUAUUUGACUCAUUGGAUUAUGACCAGUACACCUACAAAGAAUUCAUAUUCAUCCUACAAAAAUUAGUGAAUUUCUUAUUGUGUACACUUACAUUGUGCAAAUUGUUCCCCCCAAAGAUUACAUAUAAACUAACUUCUCAUUUUUUUCAAAAUAGGGCUUACCAGCACUACAUUACCAAUGGAGGGAUUCAUAACCCCGAGAGACCGAAAUAAAUGGUUGUAUGCACCAUUCCACAAGCAACCAUCUAGUUCUAUACACUCCGGGUAUUACGUGUGUGAGCACACUAGGAUGCUCGGGAGAUACACAACUGAUCCCGAAUGUGUAAGAGGCUACCUUUCAUAUAUACGGAUGUAUAUAUAUGUACAUUGCAUUCUUUUCCACCUAUCUAACACUUGCUUAAUUUUUCCGUGGAUUUUAAUUGUAGAUUAGGCAUCGCCUACAUAGUUCGCGUCUCCAUGAGCAACAACUUCUAAAUAUAGGUGCUGAUUUAUGUCAUUUCAUUUUGUGUGAAGUGGUAAACCCAAUGGGUACCUAUUAUCACCCAGAACAUGAACUAGCUCAAGAAGAUAAAUAUGCUAACCUCUGUGAGUGGGAGAAUCAAGAGUACUGCCAAGGCUAGCCUUCGUGAGUAGCAGAAAAGCAUGUUGUCAAUGUACACUCUAAUGAUGUAUAUAUAUGGUUCUAUUUCCUUAUUAUUAUUAUUUUGUAUGCUUAAAUUGAAUUUAUGUAACAUAUAUUCUAUGUUGAUCACUGUAGCUUCUUCAAUUCGGUCUCACCUAGACUGUUAGAGUGAAAUCAGUGAGAACCAAAAGUUUUAAAAACUGGUGGGAAACAGUUUUAGCAAAUUCAAAUUUCAAUUGCUAAAUUUUUUUGACGUGCACGACAUUUCCAGUGGCGGUUGAUGGUGUCACCCGCCCCUGAAGAUACCGUUACAAGAGACGGGUGAUGGCGUCACCCGCCCCUGGAAACAGCUUUAUAGGGGCGGGCCUUUUACCCGUCCUGCAAACAGCUAUCUGUAGCUGCGAAAGCUAGGAGCGGGUGGCGCGCCCGCCCUUGCAAAUACCAUUUCAACCACCCUUGGAAACCGUUUUCAUAGUAGUGCUAAAGGUAAAACGACCUACGAUUUGGAACGGAGGGAGUAUGUUGUAACUUUUUCUUUUGGCAGGGCAUAUAGUUCCUCUGAAACGGUUGAUCUCUCAUCAAUCGAAGAAUUUUAUUCUUACUGUACCGAUCUUGAACUAAUCACCGUAGAAUGCUGGCUCGAGAAUAUUGAGGUAACAAGGCUACGUCGUUUGAACCCACGCCCCGAAUGUAGAACUGCCAAUGGGUCGGCCUGCCUGGAAAUAUGACUGAUGACUUUUGAAUGCGAUGCGUGGAAUUCAAUUGACGUGGUCUUUGCAUAUGAUCCCCUUCAUAUACUUUGCAAUCAUGGGACUAGUAUAUAUUGAUUGGCUGGCACGUGCACCGUGAACUUCCAUGUACCCCUGCAGGCUGCAGCCCUGCUUUGCUUCAGAAUGCCAUGGCCGGAGGGAAAACGUAGUAGAAAGUCAGGCCCGUCCAAGUCUAUCACAACUACUAGUAGUACGGUGCGUGCAAGCAGUAUUCAUUUCUAGAAUUUUGACUUGACCUUGUGUCAACAUAUGUAUAUGAACGCAUGCUCACAUUUGAAGUGAGCAUGACAUGACCUACACCGUACCGCCUGGCACCUGCUCAAUCCCAUUCCAUCUCGUGCAAUUCAAGUAUAGGAAUACUAGUACAUCGUGCUGUGUACAUAUUUGACAAAUUUGGUUGUAACGUAUUCUCUCAGGUUACAAACUAUUAAUCUUUUUCUUACCUACUUCCUCUGUUUCAAAUUGUAGCUUGUUUUGAUUCAAGAGCAUAGAUUUUGCUAUGUAUUUAGAAAUAUAUAAUAUAUAUUUAAGUGCAUAAUAAAAAUCACGUAGUAGAAAGUCAUGACCCGAGGGAAACAGUAGUAGAAAGCCCGUGACGCUCGUCCAAGUCUUUAUCACAACUGCUUGGUAGUACGGUGCAAGCAGUCUUCAUUUCUAGAAUUUUGACUUGACCUUGCGUCAACAUACAUGAAUGCAUGCUCAAAAUUAAAGUGAGCAUGACCUAGACCGCUCGGCACCUGCUCAAUCCCAUUUAGGGAUGGAUAUGGAUGUAUUAUCCAAAUUCGUAUCCGCUAAAAAAAUUAAUAUGGAUAUUUGUAUUUGUAUUCGUUUUUAAUGUGGAUGUCAAAUGCAUGUAUCCGGAUUCGAUUUUCAGUAUUUUUCUCUAUCCGCUUCCGGAUUCGUAUUCAACAAAAAUAUAAAAUAUCCGAUAUUAUCCGUAUCCUUAAAGAAUAAAGUACCAAAUGAAGCUAUCUAAAACUUAUUUAUAUUACUAAAUACUAAUUACAAAUGAUCUUAAUUUUAAUAUUACUAAUAAAAUAAUUAUUUACAUCAUUUAAACUAUUAAAAAAUUAUCUAUAUGACAAAUGACUAAUUACAUUAACCUAAUAUUACUAGUGAUAUCUAAUGAUAAAGUUUAAUUAAUUGUAAUAUGACUAAUCAUAUUAAUUUUAAAUACAUUAUAUUAUUUAUCAAAUGAAUAAAUCAUAUUUAACUGUAUUAAGGAACUUAUUUUUAUUAUUAAGUGAUAUAUAUUUAUGGAAAUGCUUAUUUUUAUAUAUUUAAUUAUUUUUUAAUAAAUAUGUUAUUUUCAAUAAGAUAUCUAUUAUAUACUAUGCUCAUAAUUUAUUCCCUACUUGUAACAUGAUUUUUAAUCUAUUAUAAAACCAUCGAUAAAGCAAAAUUGAUACUCGUUAUGACGCUAUGUUAUAAGUCGAAUUUGAACUAUUUGUUUUGUAUUCGUAUUCGACAAUAUUGGUAUUUGUAUUCGAAUUAAAAUAUGGUAAAUAGUGCUAUCCGAAUUCGAUUCCAUGCAUAUAUGCUGAAUCCAUCCUAAUCCCAUUCCAUCUCGUGCAAUUCAAGUAUGGGAAUACUGUACAUCGUGCUGUGUAUAUUUGACAAAUUUGGUUGUAACGUAUUCUCUCUGGUUACAAACCAUUGAUCCUUUUUCUUACGUACAUGCAGAUAACCAUUGGCAACUGUAGUUAUAAUUUAGAAUAAUACAUUUUAUGUGUUGAGUUUUGGAUUUGGGAAAAUGGUAUGAGUAUUGUAGAUUCGUCUCAAUAAACAGUUUCAUAAAUGUAUACUUAUGCUAUGUUUGAUAAAUACUUCCUCCGUCCCAAAAUAUAGAUACAUUUAGCUUUUUCAAAAGUCACUUUGACCAACAAUACCUCCAAAACUAAUUUAUUUCAAAUAAAAAAGUUACAUAUUAUAAUAAUUAGUUUUAUCCAUUUUACUUCCCUCACCCAUCCACUUUGUCCGCUUAACCCCCUGCACAAAAUUUUAGCUCGUUUUACUCCCCUGAACUAUUUCAUUUAUCCAAUCUACCCCCUAAUUAGAUUUCUCUUUUUUGUUUCUCUUUAUAUGAGUUGAAUUUUGAGUUCAAAUUUUGUGAGCAGAUACAAAACAUGAUGCUUUAUGUUAAAAAAUUAUACUAAGAAUUUUUCAUGAUUAUUGUCACAGGUUAGGAAUAUUUAAUAUAAAAUUAAUAUUAGAUAUACAAAACUGUAUGAAAAGUAAUCAUGAAAAAAAUCUAAUAUAUUUUUCUAACGUUGAGCAUUAUGUUAUAAGUCAACUGACAAAAUAUGAAAUUAAAACUCAACUUUUACACGAAGAAGAUAAAUCUAAUUAGGGGAUAGAUUGAACCAAAUGAAAUAGUUCGGGGGAAUAAAGUGAGCCUAAAUUUUGUUCAGGGGUUAAGCAGAUAAAGUAAAUAGGUGAGGGGAGUAAAACAGACUUUUUCCAUAAAGGAUGUACUAACAUUAUUUUUAUGCUAUUAGUCUCUAUGAUUAUUUUUCUAUUCGCAGUCAAAGUUGAAAAUAUUUAACUUUAAAAAAGUCUAAACGUAGCUAUAUUCUGGGACAGAGGGAGUGCAUUACAUGAACAAAAUAUCGGUCAAGUUGUAUUUUGAAGACUGUGUGUCAAAAUCUAAAAUUAUUUAUUUGUGAGAUUAGUUGGCAGUAAGAUUGUGAAAAAAUUGUAUUCAUGAAAGUAUUAUACUAGUUUUUUAGAUGAUUCCGUUAACUUAAAUUUUAGAUGUUCUAACUUAAUAUUGAAAAAGACAUGGAUGAUCAAAUUUAUAGUUUAAUCAAAUUUCUAUUUAGCUGAUGACAUGCCGAUUUCAGGCCCCAUGAUGUUUCACUUUUUGUGCUUUGUCUGACAUUUUCUUGACUUAGCUAGCUAUGUGUUCAUGGCGCUGACACUGUCCCAACUUUUUAUUUCUUUGCGACAGUCAAAAGAAUUAUUUGCUACAACACAUUAGACGGUGUCCUAACACGACUGUCCUAUACUGCAAAGAACUUUCAGUGUCCUACAGAAAAAUAUUUCAAAAAGAUUUUGAACUAUAACUUGCAUUGAAGUCUUGAACCACAUUCGAUUCUAUGGUAGCCAUUCCUCAAAUCAAACACCCCAAACACCCCAUUAGUUCUUUUUGUUCGUUGUUUUGUUUGAUAUUAAGGGUUAUGUUUCUUGGGGUGUUUGAACCUAUUUCAUGAACCCGUUUGAUCAUUGUUAUAAGUUUCUUUUGCUUUCCGCUAAAAAAUACUCCCUCCAUUCUCUUUCGAUAUACCUAUUUUAAAAACUGAGAUUUCUCUUUUGAUAGAUCUAUUUGAAUUACCGUUUCGCAUCUGGUCCGAAUAACUGUCCGGUUCCCGUGCAAAGUAACUUCUUUGAACAAUAACCGGUGCAUGUAUACGAUGAUGUAGAUACUGAUGAGGAUUUUUUGCGCAAAAUCAUUUCCAUUAACAAGAAGUACAUAAUGACGCGAUUAGUUGGAUGAUAAGCAGUGUCCCUUCUUCUUUAUCAUCGUGCUAAGAUGAAAGAGUUCUAUUAAAAAAGAAUGGAGGGAGUAUUUGGCAGUACAAUGCACCAACACGGCAGCAAAACGUCGUUGCCAGCUGAUGACUAGAGGGGCCUAAUUUAAGUGCACGCGACCUUAACAUUUUUUCUUCUGUUUAACUUAGUUAGCAUUAAGCUUACUAUCGUUAUCGAUCGCCCAUAUAAAUAUCUGCUCCAGGAUUUUUUUUUUCCUUUUGAAAUUAACUUUGUAGCGUGGAAUAUAUAGGCCUUGCUAGCUGGCUAGGGUUUCUGGUACCGUUCAUUGCAUAUACGAGCUGGUUCAGCCAUUCCCUCAGCUAGUCAAAAUCAAAACAGAAUAAGAGUCUAAAAUAACUCGAAACAGAAUAAGAACUUAAUUCUGGUUAGCCCGGCAGCAAUUUAAAAAAGAGAAAACUUUUGUGAGAAUAUAUUUCUCCCUAAGUUCCCUUCCGCACGUACUGCAUAUGGUAGGAAAAACCUUUUGGUUCUAGCUAGAUGGCCCUCAUCAGUUUUGGAAUCGCCAUCAUUUUUCUACUUCUAGAAAUAGCACAUGAGACACGGAGAGAUCAACCCAUUCCAUAAGAUGCCACUACGUCAGAAAGCAUUUGUGCUGAUGGCUAGAAACCAUCUGUGCUUUUUGUGCUGGCGGCUAUCGCACCCGCCAGCAAUCUUGAGCCCACUAGCACAGACCGCUCUCUGCUGGCGGGCGACGUUAGCCACCCACCAGCACACCCGCCAAGCACAGAAAGCACAGAUGGCUUCUGUGCUAGCGGGUGCUUAUGCCGUCCGCCAGUAAUAUGUAUUUCCCAUUCAAUAUAUUAUUUCCCGUGAGUUAUUUAUAAUUUUUAUUUCCUGCUAGUUUUUAGCUGUCAAAUUGAAAUAUUUAUCUCCAACCACAUAACAACUAACUUGAAUAAUAAAUAAUUCACAUUAUUAAAAACCGUGUCGUGCAUAAUAUAUAAUUCACAUUAUUAAAAUCCAACAUUUGAAAUAGAGCUAUUCUUUGCCACGCUAAUAUUAAAACUACUACGCCCAUCUACAAAGAUUUGUGCACUCGUCCGCCAUCAACACACCAUCUUUAUCAAAGAAUGCUCCAUUCUCAUGACAAAUCUUGCGUAGGAUGAACCUCACCAUGCUUGUACAAAUGUUGUCGAUUUGUUUGUCUUCGAUCUUGCUAUAGUUACUGUCGAUGGUAGGCAUCUGCAAGUAUACAAUAAAUGAAGAUUAGGAUGUAUUACCAUUAGGAAGUUAGCACAUGGCAGUGUAUAAGAGACUUACGUCUUCAGGGUUCAUUCAGUACCUCCCAUUGUUUCUGAUGAACUCGCACACAUAAUAUCUGCAUAGCACAGAGCUGGGAGGUUGCUUGUGGCACUGCAAACAAAUAGAAAAAUGAUGAGUUGUUAUUAAUGACAAGUCUACAUUAUAUGAAAAAACCAAGUUUUUAUAUUCUUACAAAUCUAUGAUAUAUUAUUUUCAUAGCUUUCGUCCUUUUUUGGAUUGUGGAUCCCACUUUUUAGUAUGUAAAGCUUGUACACACUUUGAGGAUAUAAAGAUAAGAGUUAGUAAUAUAACUUAGGUGCAUAGAAUGUCAACAUGCAUUUAAGUGCUACCAAGGAAUGUUUUACUUUUGUAUAAUACCUAUGAAAUUCUUGUACCUAUCUCUAUGAUAGCUAGCUAAGUCGAGGACCAUUGACUCUCCUAGCUUGGGUAAAAUAAUGAUGCAAAUCCUGUGGUCUCUGCAUUAUAUUAAAAUAAUUUAUAUUAUAGACAACAUUAAAUAGCACCUAGUAUAUAUAUAGUAAUUAAAACUAGCUUACUUAAAAUUGUAAGUCAGCCUUUUUCUUCAUUACUUUUGCAAUGUAUACGGACACUUUGUGCAUUUCAUCUCUAUGGGCUUUUAUUUUUAUAACAUUUUUCUCCGCUUGUGUCUCUGCUUCUUCUAUUUGUGCUUUGAUCGCUUCCAUCAUUUUGAGCUUGUGCUCUGGCUCACUUAUUCGUGUUGGGUCCAGGUACGCUACCUUGAACCUGCCGUGCGUCAAUUCUUCCUCUCUCCAUUGCAUCCUGCAGAAUAUGUUGCUCAUGUACUUGAAAUAAAAUACGAAUGUAUCUAAAACUCGUGUAUGCGGUACAUGUGGACUUACAAGCACCAUACGGAAAUGAGAUUCACGUCGAGGUGUUGUUGACGGUAAAGUCUAUGCAAAUCCUCGAAAUCAAUCACAAUCUGGUACAGGAGAACGUCAAUGAAAACCGUAGUUGGGACAUGCGCGGUGAUUGCUCGAGUACCUUGCUUCAUUGCAUUCAUGAUCCAUCCAUGCAGCUUAUUCAGUUCUCAUAGAACCUCCAACAUGCCUUACAAACGCAUAACCCUGAAGAAAGAUAUAUAUCUCCAAUGGAUGGAAUAGCUUGGCAUCUCUAAAUUAAACCUAUUCAAGUAUGGCUAGUGAAGUCUAAUCUGAUAAUUAAUUGAUACAAAUCUUAUUUCUGUUGGAGAUGUUGCACCGAUGAAACUGAACAAAGAAACGCUUGUUUUAGCAUUGGAUUCUCUAAAAAGUUAAAUUCGUGCGUGUUGAAAUCCUUGGAGAUGUUGCACCGAUGAAACUGAACAAAGAAACGCUUGUUUUAGCAUUGGAUUCUCUAAAAAGUUAAAUUCGUGCGUGUUGAAAUCCCGCAUGCAUGCAUGGAUUAUGUGAGUGGUCUACUGUGAACCUCUGGCCGAUCUUACUCUUACUAAUCCGAGACUUUUUUAGAGUCUUCAUAUUAAUCUUCACAUGAAUGGCUAUAAAAAAGAAUUAGUUGCAUCAAGAAAAACAAAACACCUGACCUUGAUUUUGUAGACAGUGUCGUGAAUCUAUUCUGCUUAUAAGUUAUAAACUACCCACCCAUAACAUUAUGAAAAAUAACCAAAAGUAAAACACCUAAAACAUCAUCCAACUUACCCUCUUGUUUUUGUAAAAGGGAAAUUUAGUAAUCUUAGACAAUUAUAUCAAAACAAUACAAUCAUAUUAAAACCACAUUCCGGCCUGUGCACAUAUAGCUAAGAUGCACACAACCUAUACAAAUUUUGAAAAAGUAAAAAAGCACCACGACAAUAUCUAUCAAGUCGCAGCAAACUACCACAUAUAGCUUGAUCUUCAAUUCUGUGCACAAAACACAGCAACAUCUAAACAGGGAGAAAGGCUCUAAAAAAAACAAUGCUUCCAAGAAGAAAAUGGAGUGCACGCGUGCUGUCGUUGCCAUGGUCCAAUCAGUAAAUGCUAGACCAUUAGUUUUCACCCUAGAGAGCAAUUCUUUGGACUCCAAACAAUGUCUUCAAUAAGUCCAUUGCUUGCAAUGUACAACCAGCAAAUGUUAGAUCAUCCUUGAAAACUUGUCAAUAACCAUUAUUCUUAUCCAUGGGAUUGUUCCUCUCCCACAAAUAAGUAUCAAGAAUCUUCUGGAAGACUUGGGACCCAACUAGGCAUCGAAGUCAUGCUGAGGGGGGGGGUGGCAUAUUGAUCCACACCCCCUCUCGGGUUGUUUGCCUAGCAAACUCCUCAUAUAAAUACCUAAUCCUCUCGACGGCCCUGAGGAUUCAUUCACUGAUUUACAACAGAGAAGCAGAGGAUCCUGAGAAACGCCAUCUUGGAGAGCUGAGUACCGUAGGACUUCAUGUACGCAUUGUCUAGGACUUCGUGUAGGCUACUCUGUAGCUAACACGGUCACCCUGCGAGGAAGAACCAUGUUGGAGUUCUAGAGCUAGGCGGUAUGAUCUCGACGGUGAUCUAGGUGAUGUGUAAUCAUUUAUAGUAAUAAUGCGAUUCAUGAGUUCAGAUUUAUUAGAGAUUCAUAUGCCUCCUUUCAUGAUAUAUAAUGUUAUGAGUAUGAUUAUUUCAAUCUAUGGUCCGUAUAGAUUGCUUCGAAAGUUCUUAUAGUCAUGGUCAUGAUAUCUGAUCUAUCAUAAUAAUUAGACAUGCAUGAAUCUUGUAUGCAUACACUUGAAACCUCACGUAGAACGGUGGAAUCAUGAUAAGAUCUCGACCUAGUGGACGGUCAGUACUACUCGAGUAUCAAGGUGGAGAUUUAAAAAUAUGCUUUGAACGAGAACCAUGCUUUGCAUGCUAUCUCGUUACAUAAUUACAACUUAUGCAUAGUUUAAGCUUGCACGAAAUUGGUUUGAUGCAAGAGUCAUGCUCAUAUCUAAAAUAUGUAUGUUCAUAGUUUCUUACAACUCAAUCAUGCUUACAAGAUGCAUAGUUAAUCUAGAACCUAAUUGUUUGUUCCCACACAUUUUAUUGUAGGGGCGCCUCGUUUUUUCCUAGGGACGGGCAAAAUUGCCACCCACACCUACAAAAUGGAAGCCCCAUUUCCAGAGGAGGGUAGCCCCGUGGCCUGUCCCUGCAAGUGCUUCUAUUGCCACACAACAGCCACAUGUUGCCGCAUGUAGUGCUAUGAGGGAGGCACUGAUCCAAAUGUAACGUCAGACAAAUCAUGCAUUUCCAGACUACAGUUACUUUAAGAUUAAAGCUUUUGAAUACGAUAAGCUAGAUGUCACACAAAUGCCUAAACAGAUAUCACCAGCGUAUCAAUCGCCUGUUGUAUGUAACUUACAGUAAGUCAUUAUUUUUGAAAUUUGUUUUGUAAUGAUCUGCCAAUAUGUCUUCUAACACUUUUGUUUGUUGCCAUUUGACUCAAGGACGCACUCUAUAAUAGCUUCAUGCACGUCGACCAAGGUCUAGAAGUCCUACAUCAGUAACUGGGGAACAUUGGCUGGACAUUCACAUGAGCGCACCCGGGUCAAGUACGCGGCUGUUGGCAAGCUGACAUUACCGCUUCGGUGAGAAUAUUUGGAGAGACAUUCCACAUGCCCUACAAGGCUAGGGAUAGUGCAUACAUAUAUGCUCUAGAUUAUGUUGAUAGGUUAUUAGGAAUCGACAUUAUUGAUAUUAAUCAUAGUUUUUAUAUCUAUAUGAUUAACGGUCAUGAUGUGGACGAUCCAAGGUUCUAAGUAUCUCAUUUAUGUAUAAUGUAAGCCUUAAUAUGUAUGAUGGAUAUAUGUAAUGUACUCUAGUUAAUACUCUAGUAGAAUGAAAUGAACCUCUUAACCCUCAUAUGGUUGAAAUGAAGCCAUACUUUAGGGUUUCUACACUCUUAACCCUUACAUGUACUAAAAUACUUCUGGAUUAUUUUUCCCAUGAUCUAAAGUUCAUUAUAACCUUAGUGGGAGUUUUAAUAUUUUUUUGGUGUUUUGCUAUUUUCAACAUUUUAAAUAAUUUUUUAGAACAAAAAAGGAAAUAAUUUGCUAGUGAUGGUUUCACCCGCCCCUGCUAAUGUCCCUCUAUAUUAGGCUAGUCCGCGUCGGGACUUAGCCAAAAAUUCACAAAAGCGCGCGGGAUGCUGCCAGGCUGCUGAAUUUUUCACCUCCCUCCCCCGACGCCGCUCCCCUCCUAGCGUCGUGUCGCGACUCCUCCCCUCCCCUGCAAUGCCUUCCCAUCGCGGUGGCUCCCCGCGCUGGGCCGCAUCGCCGAGCCUUCUACCCACUCCUCCCGCGGGCUCUUGUCGCGGUGCCUCACCGCGCCACCUUUCCACCGUCGGACUGCAUCGCCAUGCCUCCUCUCCUCCUCUCGCAGCUCCCGUUGUGGCACCUCCCCACGCUGCCUCCACCGCCUAGGCCGAGCCCCUCCUAUCGCCAGCGACCGUGCCUCCCCUUCCACAGGCAUGGCACCUCCCCUCCCCACGAUGCCUCCACCGCUGGCCGGGCCCCUCCUCUCCACGCCGCCUCCAUCGUCGAGCAUCGGUUUCUUUUCUUUUCAUUUUUAUUUUAUUUAACUAUGAAUAGUAGCACUUAGUGAAAUUGUGAAUGUGAAUAGUAAAACUUGUGAAUGUGAAUCCAAUUUUAAAUUUUGAAAUGUGAAUUCUCAAUAGGGAUAGUAUUAGCAAAUUUGAUUGGAUAGUUUGGGCUGCAAUUUGAUUGGAAUGAAAAAUGUUCUAGUGAUAUGAUUAGUUAUCACAAUUUACAUGAGAUCUAAACCAACAAUUAUAAAUUUAUUCCAUAAUUUUGGACACUCUUUUAUUCUGAGUAUUUCAUGAAUUAUGAUAUUUUAUGGCAUAAUUAUUAUUGAAGUUGAUGUUUGUGAAAUAAUCUAUCUUAUUACAAUUUUAUUUGGAUAGUGUGGACUAACUAUGGCAAGUGGAAGUUCUUUUCGCUGUGGUGGUGUCGGCUGUGAAGGUGGCCGCCUUGGUGGUGGCGGCUGUGGAAUUGGCAGGGACACUACAUUUUCGAGGAGCCACCGCUGGCUCAUCAUCUAGGAUUUCACUUCCCUAAUCGUGUCAUUGACUUGCCUACCGGUGAUUGAAGCAAAGGAGCAAUUCCCAACAUAGUAAUAUUCUUUCCUUCUUGUAAUUGGUUUUUUUACUACACAUGAAUAAUCCCUAAAUUUACUUACUUACAAUGUAACUUAUCGACCCUAUUAGAUGGCUUAAAGAUGUUGUCGAAGCUAUAGGUGGUACUUCUCCUUUAGUGUAAUCCAAGGUUGUUGGUGAACGGAAUUUUAAAAGAGUAAAUAUCUCUUUUCAUGUAUGUUGGUAUAAUUAACGAUUAUGAAUAAAUCUGCAAGCACGCGGAUAUCGUUGUAGCUUUCACCUCAAAGUAUUCUAAGGGUAUCGAAUCCAAGGGAAUGUGUGUGUACUAAUUCCUAGUUUAGUCGGUCCAAGGACACACCAAGAUAGGUGGCGAGGGUAGAGACGAUUCCUAAGGAUAGCACUAUAGGUGACUUAAAGGUCGAUCUCUCAGGUCAGAAUACUCACUUCAGGCACUAGCUUACCUUGAAUGAGUUAGGCACCUCCGGCCAACGGCUCUAUGCUAUAUUUGAAUGUGGAGGAUUAAAAAGGACCAAUAGCGCUAUCACCACCUACGACCUAUCUCUAGGCUCGUGGGAUAUAAGGCAAACGAAGGAUAAUCCUUAGCCUAGACAGCACAUCUACGCUACUAAUUACUACUGCAGUCAAACUACGUCUGACACCCCGUAGCAAACUAUAGCUCUCUGUAUAAAUACAGAGCAAUGAACCUGCGAGUAAGAGAACUAAUCUCACUCAGAUAUAGAUACUACUAGUGUAUACUGUAUCAUGGUCUAGAGACAUACAUGAGAGCAUACAAGCCUAUACUAUCAUAGCAAGGGUAUUUGACUAGCAUACGAGCAUAUAAGCCAAGCAUAUAAAUAUAGCAAGGAUAUAAGACUACUCAUGCACAUAAGAACCAAGUAUAACUCUAUAAGAAGGAAUCAUGAAUACGAACUUACUUUACUCAAAGGAAGCCAGCAUCCGUAGAAUUACAAGCUGAGAGGAGAGUGCCGACACCUCAGCACUCCUUCCAAACUACCCCUCACUCUCUCCCUAUUCUAAGCACAAGCUAGGCAAGGCUCUGCCUUUGCAAUGAAGCUCAAACUCUCUCUUGGAUGGUGUGCUCUCAAGUGAGGCCCCCCUCUACUAUUUAUAUAGUGGAGGUGCCUUGGGAGAGUGGAGAUGCUCCAAGCAUCUCAAGGGAAUAUUCUCCUCCAACUUCUCUCCUUGUGCCAUCUAGCAGGAUCCGAGGCUUUGAGGCGAUAACUCGUAACUCCUGGCGAAACGGUCAUAACCGCCUUUAGGAAGUCACCUGGAGCCACCACAUGGAAGCUGAGAACGACAGGGGUCAGGGCCAGUUCGGGGUUCGGCCGAACCCUAGGCCCUACCUCUCGCGCCGCCUUUCAUCUAGGACGCUGCCCGGUGGGCCCUCAAGUCGGUCCUGGGUGCACGUGCCAAGUUAAGGCGGUUUAGUCCCUGAUGUGGGCCUAUGGAUCUGUGUGCUCUCUCCUGAUGGGCUGGAGUUGUGUUUCUUUGCCUCUUGGGUGUGUUUCCUCCUCCUUUCUAAGGAUAAGUGACCUGCACUUGUGGAAUUGGUUACUGAUAAAUCCCUACCACUAGGUUGAUGUUCAUGUUUCCGGUAUUUAUGCAGGAGUUGAUAGUCAAGAAUUGGUACUCAAGAGCCGUCAACAACAAGCUCGCACUUAGCCUUUGCUCGUCCUUGAGUGAAGGGCAAAGUCUAAGAUGGAACAUAACUUCUUAUGGUAAGGAGCAAAACAUGUAAGAUAUUCAAAGCCAUACCUGUACUUGUGAACUUUUGGAGUGUCUAUCAUGUCACCUUGGGUGGUUGAUGGUUGGAACGGUCUUGAUUCAAAUCCCCUCCACUCUCUCUAUCUCAAUAACUUGGGUUUUUGACAAUGUUUUUUAAAAGAAAACCUUACCUAGCUCCUCAAAUGAUUCUCUCAAAUCGCUCAAUGUGUAUAAUCUUCACCAAGGCAUUAACCUCCCUUUCUUCACCCUACUUCUAAUAAGGCUUAAGUAGAGCUCAAGGUAGGGAUAAAGAUGAGGCCUACCUGCAUCACAUAUGUUGCAAAGCCAAAGACUGGAUACAAGUAGAAUACAAGUCAUACAAUCUGAUCAAGAUGUGCAAGUGUGUGGAUGGAAUAUGGUGGAAAGGUGUAUGGACUCCUUUUGUAUGAUUCCAUCUCUCUCCUUUUUCUCUUUCUUUUGGACAUGGGCUAUCUUUUUCUCUUUCUCUUUUUUUCUUUUUCUUCUUUUUUCCAUCACGCUUUGAGCAUGGCUUUUAUUUCUUUUUGCAUAGCCCAUGUCUCUUUUGCAAGGAUACUUUUGGAGAGAGAGGUCACAACACAUGUGGAGCUUUAUUUGGUGGAUGGAUAGAUUGGAUGUUACUAGCUUCAAUUGUAGAAGUAUAGUAUAUGAAGGUGGAGUGUACGUGAUCUUGAUCAUGAAAGUAUGAAGAAUAUUCCACAAGAGUCACAACAAUUUGGCAAAGCUCAAUAUGAUAGCAAGCAACAUAUGUGUAUAUGUUUUUCAAUAAGAUCAACAUAUGGCUUUGGUAGGAUGGAGGCAUAUCAUUGAGGAGCUAGCUAGGUCAUUGCUUUUUAAGAUAAAUUUCCCAAGUACUUUGGACAGAAAAGAGCAAGGUUCAUUUUAUCAUGCCAUAUCUCAAACAUCAACAACCUAGGUAGCAUGCUUUCCUAAAGAUACAGGUUCACAAGCAAGAAGGUACAAGCGAGGAAUAUAGAACAUGUAUGCCAACCAUAAGGAGCAUAUUUUCAGCCAAGGUUCAUUUUAAUUCUGAGUUUAAUUUUUAAUGAUCAGAGAUGAGAUUCAUUUAAACUCAUGAACUAGGGAGUAGACAGGUGGAAUGCGCAUACCAUCGUUCUUGAAGAAGAUGGGGAUCGAGGAGAACCAGUGGUGGUUCAGCCAAACCACGGGGGCGGCUGACUAAUUCUGGUGCCCUCGCCUUGUCCCUUGUCAUGCUCGCGUAGUCGAUGUGCGACACCCUUGUGGGAGAUCUCGAGUGUGUAUGUUGAUGAUGAGUUUAAGAGAUCUCCCCCACACUUGUGCUUGUAUCUAGUGCUUUAUUCAAACAAAAAGGUGGAAACAAAAGGGGAAUCUACUAGUUCGAGAACCAGGAAGACUUACUUUAUUCGAACUCAAAUAUUUUUGGAAUUUUUUUAUUUUCACCAUGAGACCUAACUCAAAACAAGGCUUAAUUAAAAUUGCAUCAAUAUAAGAAAACGAGGAUAUAUUUACGGUGGACCCUUGAAGGGUGAUAGGUACCUCCAUUGUAUGUUGUGCAACAUGAAUCCGAUGCCUUGGUUUAUCGUCCCAUUUGAAUCAAGCUUUACCCGUUCGGAUUUGAAGAUUUCCUGCAGGGUUUAGUCCACAUGUACAACCAAGAUCUAUGAAAGUUUUAACUCCAAGGUUCAUUAACCAAACUUUACACCAUGUCUCAUUUGGUUAAAGGAGACUUUUUAAUCUAAGCACCGUGCUUAAUUCAAAACAGCCUAUGAACGUACGUCGAUGAAACAUACAUUCAAACCAGAGCAUAAGAGCAUAGAUAAAGGAAGCAUGAAAGCAUGAUCAAACUAUUUUCAAAGGGAGAUAAACAUGAGUACAAUGCUGAUGAACCUCGGGCUACCUCCCUGAAUGGCUUUGUUUAAAGUCAAAAGCAGGACAUAUCUGAAGGUACUUACCAUGGCAUUUGGGUGAUGAAGAUUUCUAAAUCGUCACCAUGGUAACUCUUUUUUUUUUAGUGGGGCAAGAUGCAUAGACCAACAGCAUCUCCAAACCAAGAUAAGAUUUGGCAUGAAAGGAACUUACUCGGGAUACUCGCAUACCUCCCCCACACUUGGAGUUUGCAUUGCUGGGCAACGCAACUCAAGUGUGUGGAGUUUAAGAUUUCUUUCAUAAAUGUUCCCUUACCAAGACUUACUAAGGUGUUGUAGUCGGUGUAGCUCCCAUGUUGUUAGUUGUCACCUAUCCAUCAUUCUUUUUAAUCUCCACCUGAAAUGGUUAGCGACAAAAAAUACCCAAAGGACAACUUCAUCCUAGAAACAUGCUCUUGCUUUUUAUUCAAAGGGAAAAGUCUAUGAUAAUUGGGCUAUCUCUCGGUACUGCUUUGUUUAUGGUCACAAGCUUGACCAUGGGAACUUCCUCUUGCAGCUAUCAUUGGUGAUGUCGUUCCCCUCUCACCACCAAUUGUUGAUGUGUUAUUGAAGCUUUAGCUGCAAGGUCAGCGCCAUAGUGCAUCCAUGAAAUUUGCAAUGUUUAUGAUAAACAUAUGCAUCUAUAACCAACCUUCUAAACUUUUUGCAAGAGAGGACCUUAAGGUGGUUGUAGUCCUCGUGUGUGCGCAUGGCACAAAGCAUGGCUGACUCUGUAAAGGCAUUAAACGAGAAUGGUUCUUGUGGUAUUUCAAGAAUGAAGCUCCUAUGCUCAUCUAAGGAAUCCUUUCCUUCAGGCUCCAGAGUCAACGUCUCACAAAAUUCCAUGGCCCAUGGAUUCUCCAUCUCAAGAGAUUCAUCGGGGAAGAUAUAUCAAUGUUGAUUCUUCAUCGUGGUUGAAAACAACAUGAUACGGGCCAACAGGAAGAGGUUCAAACUCGAUUGAGGGUGAUGGUGAUCGUUCGUCUUCACAAAGGUGAAGAGUUUCAUUCAAGUCGCACUCUUUGAGGGCGGCAUAUUCUAUGAACUCAAAGAGAACGGGCUCGGAUGAGACCAACGGAGAUGCAUGCAUCACCGUCUUGAGCGAGUUUUGCUCAGGAAGAGGCUUUGCCAUAGGAUUUUCUAAACAAGAGGUAGUCGUGGUGGAAGCAGUUUCCCUAAGCUUUCCAUCAAGGAUCCAUUGAGAUGCACCAUCUAGGUGGGGGUUUUCUAAUGGGUAGCCUAUGAGAAGAUCAAAAUCGAGGAUAUCAAAGAUGUGGAAAUCUAGGUUGACCUCGAUUUUUUCUAUUGUGAGCGGCACGGCACUUGCGACCCCCGACAUUCAAGGAUGCGUCCCAAGGACAACUUUUGAGGAGCUUGUCGGAUGGUCUUAGCAGAAUGUUGCCCAAAAGGGUGUACGUUAUGUGCCAUGGCAUGAUAUUGGCCUCCAUGAUGGGGUUAAGAUGGGCUUCUACGGUAAUUCCCCUUAUAGAACAAGGAAUGAUCAUGGAGGGUGAACUAAUCCAAAUUGCUUCGGAAAAGUGUCUUGCUCCAUACGAUCAUUCCUCCUUCAUGUCCGCCUCGAGAAAGGCUUCAUUGGGAGGAUUGGGAGGAGAAUGGAGGUACCGUAGGCUUAGGGGAAGGUUAUGUCAAGGGAUUUUUUAAUUGAGAGAUAUGGACAGAAGAAGGUUCCUUCCCUAAUUGGACAUCAAAGAAAUUGUUGAAGCAAAAUCUGGACUUCAGGCUUCUGCGUUGAACAACACGGAGGACCUGGGAGAUCUACUUAACUCCAGUGCAGGCUCCAAAUCAGCUCGCGAGUGGUGCAACACGUGCCAAUCAAUUUAACCUGAAAUGUAAUCAUGUGGUGUAAAUAAAUAAAGCAUUAAUGGCAUGUGCCAUCGACUAUAUGAGCCAACGGGCCAAGAUAAAGCAUUAUAAAACAACAGCUAUAAAAGGAGCCCUUCCUAACCAUGCGCACACCAAAUAGACUAACAGAUCUAGUCAAUAUCUUGAUAAGUGUAAUUGAACUUAGAUAAGGUAACACGAAUGAGAGGGCAUUGACAUCAAUCUAUUAACCUAAGAGAUUAGAACAUAGUAGCAAGGACCUCUUACCUACCGCUUACGAGCUAAUUAAGCUAAUGGAAUCCUAAUCAAUGUCAUGACUAUGUAAUUGGACUUAGACAAGGUAACAUGGUGAGAGGGUAUUAACUUUGGCCCACUAACUUAAUCAGACAAGCUCACGGCAGCAAGGCCUCGUACACGCCGCUAUCGGUUCAAUGACAUCAUCAUGCUUCCAUGAGAUAUGGAUGAUACCUAGCCGAAGCAUCGGCUCUCAACAGUAGUGUGCUGACAUAAAAGGCCUAACGGUUAGCAACACAAGGUGCAAGGGUAAAAAUCUACCUGAUCUAGCAUAUAUAAAGUAGUAAAAGCAUGCAAGAUCUAACCAGUCAAUACAAUCUGAUAACUAUGAAUGUUUAAACAAGGCAAGGGAGCCAAUAAAGACAACCUAACAAGAUCUAAGCCGUUCGAUAACUGUGAGCAACCGUCGAAGACAAGCAAAAUAUUGGACAAAGUCUAGAAAGUUCUACUUGCAAUCUAAGAUAACUCGAUAACUAGCCACACAACUGAAUAUCAGAAUAUAAGACUUAACUUAGAAAGUUCUGAUAGAGGCCGUCAUAAUGACCAAGUGACGGUACUUACAAGCUCGCCUGAGAUCGAAGCCGAUGCAGCCGUGCGCGUAGGAAGGAACUCGUCGAAACUACUCUACUCCUACUCCUAAGGUUUUGGUGGUGUGGUGCUGAAAGUUUGUAUUGAUUGAUGAUUAUUCAUUACAAAUCUCAUGGGCUUAUAUUUAUACCUGGAGCAGGUUAAAAUCCUAGUCGAUUACGACAUGACUAUUACAGCUAUUUCUAAAAACUACCUAAGAUAAGUCUCCACGCUUUACCUUAUUUGGUGGAGUCGAUUUCACUUCAGAUCGGGCUUUCUCUAGUCUUCUAUCAGCUUCUAGAACCCUGGUCUCCCACAGCUGAUCUUGGUCAACGUGAAGUCACCAACGAUCUCUUUCUCUCUCCUUCAUCCGCUAUCAGAACCUUAUCCAUAGUGCGUGACUCUGGCCAAAAAUCGGUGUCAACAGAAAUUCGAGGUGUUUCUAUGGUGUCUAUAUGGAUCUUCCUCGAAUUGGAGAGGGAACUUCGGAGGUUGAAUCUCUUCUCCCUCCAAUGUUCUUGGUUCGGGUGAGGGUUCUAUGGCUGAAUCUGAUGAUGUGGAAGGUGAAGGAUCGGAUUCGGUUCCUAGAAGAUUCUCAUGGCUUGACUUACGCUCUUCUCGGAGGGGUAUGGACUCGACUAUGAAUGAGGUGUUCUCAGUGAAAUGAUCUAGGAUUUUCCUACCUUCAGCCAGAGUCUUAUGGAGAAAUGACCCUCCGGCGAUAAUGUUGAUAUAAUAGUCGGAAUCCCUAUCGAGACCCAUAUAGAAGUUUUGAAGCAACGUGUGGUCAGGUAUCAAUAGGGCAGGGCAUGAUUUCACUAAGAGCAAAAAUCUAGCCCAAGUCGCGCCUAUGGAUUCCUUCUCAUUCUGCUGAAAGCAGAGGAUAUCCACUCGUAGAGAGGCGAGAUGGGACAAGGGGAAGAAUGCGAUAGAGAAUUUUUCUCUAAGGUCGUCCCAAUUGCUGUUCGCACUUCCUACGGUAUACGUGUACCAUUGCUUAGCCUUCCCUAUAAGAGACAAGGGAAACAACUUCCACUUGAGGAUAUAUUGUGUCAUUCCUGCAAUGGUGAAGUAUGAACACAGAUGCUCGAACUCACGCAGAUGGUGGUAUGGGUUCUUGCUAUCCAACCCAGAGAAGGAAAGGUUCCGAACCUUAGCAAUUAUGUUAGGGUAGAGUUCAUAGCCAGAUGUAAGUUUUGGUUGCACAGAGGGUGGUGGCUCUAAGAACUCUCCCUUUGGGGUAGAGAGGUUUUGAAAGGAUGGCUUCUCCAUGGGUAGCGGGGGCAAAGGUAGAAGGAAAGAAAGCUAAAAAGAUACGAGGACGACUAGGUACUAAAAAGAUACAGCAACCAUUCCCCAGCAACAGCGCCAGAAAGCUUGUUGGUAUAAUUAAUGACUAUGAAUAAAUCCAUAAGUGCACGGAUACCGUUGUAGCUUUCACCUCAGAGUAUUCCAAGGGUAUCAAACCCAAGGGAACGUGUGUGUACUAACUCCUAGUUUAAUCGGUCCAAGGACACACCAAGAUAGGUGACGAAGGUAGAGAAGAUUCCUAAGGAUAACACUAUACGUGAGUUAAAGAUCGAUCUCUCGGGUUAGAAUACUCGCUUCGGGCACCAGCUUACCCUGAAUGAGUCAGGCGCCUCCUCCUAACAACUCCACCAUAUAUUCAAACGUGGAGGAUUACAAAGGACCAAUAAGGCUAUCACCACCUACGGCCUACAUUGCGACCCGUGGGAUAUAAGGUAAAUGAAGGAUAACCCUUAGUCUAGACACCACGUCUACGCUACUAUUUACUACUGCAGUCUAACUAUGUCUGGCACCCCGUAGAAGGCUACAGCACUCUAUAUAAAUAUAGAGAAACAAACCCGUGAGUAAGAGAACUGAUCUCACUCAGAUAUAGAUACUACUAAUGUAUACUGUAUAAAGGUCUAGAGACAUACAUGAGAGCAUACAAGCCUAUACUAUCAUAGUAAGGGUAUAUGACUAGCAUACGAGUAUAUAAGCCAAGCAUAUCACCAUAGCAAGGAUAUAAGACUACUCAUGCACAUAAGAACCAAGUAUAACAAUAUAAGAAGUUAUCACGAAUACGAACUUACUUCACUCAAAGGAAGCCAACAUCCAUAGAGGUACAAGCUGAGAGGAGAGUGCCGACACCUCAGCACUCCUCCCAAACUACCCCUCACUCUCUCCCUAUUCUAACCACAAGCUAGGCAAGGCUCCGCCUUUGCAAUGAGGCUCUAAUUCUCUCUUGGAUGGUGUGCUCUCAAGUGAGGCCCCCCUCUACUAUUUAUAGAGUGGAUGUGCCUUGGGAGAGUGGAGAUGCUCCAAGCAUCUCAAGGGAAUAUUCUCCUCAAACUCCUCUCCUUGUGCCACCUAGCAGGAUUCGAGGCUUUGAGGCGGUAACUCUUGGUGAAACGAUCAUAACCGCCUUUAGGAAGUCAGCAAGAGCCACCACGUGGAAGCUGAGCAUGAGAGGGGUUAGGGACAGUUUGGCCGAACCUCGAGCAUCGCCUCUCGCGCUGCCUUUCACCUGGGACGCUGCCUGGUGGGCCCUCAAGUUGGUCUAGGGUGCACGCGCCAAGUUAAGGCGGUUUGCCCCCUAAUGUGGGCUCAUGGAUCCGUGUGCUCUCUCCUGAUUGGCUGGAGUUCUGUUUCUUUGCGUUUUUGGUGUGUUUCCUCCUCUUUUCUAAGGAUAAGUGACCUUCAUACAAAUAUUCACCAACACUUAUGAAAUUGAUUAGUAAUAAACCCCUACCACUAGGUUGAUGAUCAUCUUUCCGGUAUUUAUGCAGGAGUUGACAACCUAGAAUUGGUACUUAAGAGCUGUCAGCAAUGUACCUGUUCAAGAAAUAUAGUUCAACUGGAUGGCACCAAGACAGGCCAUCCCGAUGGUUUCAAUUGCCGCAUGGGGUCAAGUAGCACCAAAUAGGGUAACUUUUGAAAGGACCGUCGUGGAGGCCUGCCUACAACAGCUUAAGGAUCAUGGGUAAUUUGUGCAAGACUUCUCAUAUUUUCAAAUAAAGGCGCUCGAGGAGGGAGAAAGCAAUGUGAUUAUGACUAUUGAGAGGCUUUGUUGGCUGAAUCAACAUGACAUGGAAUGGAACAUUUUUUUAUCAAUCUAAUCAUUCUUUUGUCUUUAUUAGUUAUGUUACAUCUUUUAACUUUCAUCACGUUAUUCUCAUCUUUUAGGAUCUCUUUGUAAUACCAUUGCGUCAAUAAGCUUUUAUGUGAUUUUGGCUCAAGUCUUGGAUGUGUUGAAUUAUAGUUACCAAGAUAGAAAUCCGAUAUGCACUAGAGAUUUCAAGCUCCAGACCCAUUUCACUUUUUACAUGCCAUAUCAAUUUACCCUCUCCAUUGUUCGAGAUUUAUAGUAGUGUAUGCAUGUGACCGUCCAUGUGAAGCGAUAGAGAGUGCACUAAUUCAUGCUCUAGCUUAUAUUGAUGAAAUUCUAGGCUUUAUGAUUGGAGACUUAAACUAUAUUGCAUAUCUAAAAAAGCGAAGCGGAGUAUGAAAUAUGUAACAUGCAUGGAUGUAUUCUUAUGGAUUUUGAACUUGUUCUCUCUAAGACCUUAAGUAUUGAUGUACGAACUUUCAUUGUGAGACAAGUUAUAUAUAUUUUAUUGCAUAUACAUGUUCUUUAAGUGUUGGAUCUGAAUGGGCUGAUACAUGGGAGAACCAUAUUUUAAAAUUUUGACGUAAAAAUAGUACAAAAUUUUGGCAGAAAUGACAUUUCCAGGAGCGGGGAACGCCAUCACCCGCCUCUGGAAAACAGUUUGCAGAAGCGGGUCAUGGCGUCACCCGCCUCUGAAGAUACCAUUUCCAGAGGUGGGUGAUAACAUCACCUGCCCUUGGAAACGGCUUUAUAGGGGUGGGCCUGUUAUCCGCUCCCGCAAACAGCUAUUUGUAGCUAUGAAAAUUAGGAGUGGGUAGCGCGUCUGCCACUACAAAUGCCGUUUCAACCACCACUAGAAACCGUUUUUUAUAGAGGUAUCCUUUUCAAGGAAAAAGCUAUAUUGAUACGUCUAACACAUAGUAAUGCCUGUUCGCUUUAGCUUAUCAGCCAGCUUAUUAGACACCGAAUAAUAUUUUUCUCUCACAACAAAUCAGCCGUUUCAGCUUUUCAGCCGACUCCAUCCGAACGACAUGCAUCUGCACAGGCGGCAAAUAUAAAAGCUAGCUGCUGCGUCAAAGAUAGAUAUCCAGUCGAACACGCAUGCACUUGGGAGACACAAACGACCGAUGAUGGAUCGAUUGAUGCGACCAAUAUACUCCAAUCCUGAGUGGAAUACACAUGCAUAGUACACACACGAUGGAUCGGAGCUGUACGUCGGAGCAAAAAUGGAGCAACACGAAACGUCGAAACCAGCAUGUAGCGUUGCGAAUCCCCUGAUGGAUCGACGAAAGGAGAAAAAAAGAUCAACACUAAAUCAAAUGCAAAUCUAAGCCCAACAUCACUCAGGGUCAUCAGGAGAAUAUUCCGUACUGCUUCAUUGCGCCGCCCAGUUAUGGAUGGAUGACGUGUCAUGCAUCCUGCCUCACAUUUACCAGACCAAAUCCAAGAGAGAAUAUCGUCUAUCGCGGCUAGCCCGCAUAUAUUAUAUAAUAAUAAUGUAACCCAGCAGUUUUUCUUUGUUCGAGCUGAUCCCCAUGGAACAAGAGAUAGAUAUAUAUGUGUGUUACUUCAGUGCUUAGCAUGAAACAAACCGAGGUUUAUUGGAGGCAUUAUCUGACAGAAACAACCGUCAAAAUUGAUGUGCCUUUUGGAUAGAUUUGUAGUUCUUCUACCAGUACAACAAGUGAUCGUCCAAUUUUACUUAGCUUUUGUGCCUUGUAGAUAUAUGAACAGGAUAAAUGUUGAGCGCGCAGUAUUUAUUAUUUCCGUCACUGACAAGUAUUUGUCUUAACUCCACAGUUUCAAAUUUUAGUUACAAAUCAGUUUUUAUCUGUUAAAUUUGACAAUGUGAAAAUGGCACGAGUAAAUUCAUACCGAAAUGUAGUCUCACAAUAGUAUACUUUUUUUAUGUUUCAUAAAUGCUUCAAAAAUAAGUAGUAAAAUUUGUACUUACAGCAUCUCCAUCGACUCUCAAUAAUCCUUGGGGGAGUUGAUUUUGCAGUCUCCCAAUAAAACCUUCCGAAUAACCAAUUCUCCAGAUCUUGCUGGAGGGGAGCGGGUAGGCGGCGACCAGGGGUGGAGGCGGGCAUGUGAAAGAACGCGGGGGAGGAGAACCUUAAGGGGAAAAAGAUGGGCGCGAACAGAACCGGUCGUUUUCGUGAGGACCAAUUUUUCCCUCUAUUUGAGGAGAGUUGAGAGCAAUUAUUGGGAUGAGCAAAAAAAAAUAUCAGGAAAAGAGAGGUGUAUUGGGAUACUGCUGGAGCAAGUUUAUUCCGGAAGUUUUUUUGGAAAAAGGAAGACUACUGGAGAUGCUCUUAGAAAGUUGUGUCUAUGCCCAAAAUAUCUCUUAUCUGUGAUUGGUGGUAGUAUUCUACGUUAAUUAUAGGACCAUGAGUGUCCAUUAAUACUAAUACUAGUACAUACAUCUUCAAUUACAAAAUAUAGAUCAUUUUAGUUUUCUCCUAAUUCAAAUUCCUUAAAAUUUACCAAGUUUAUAAAAAAUAUAUUAACCUUUGCAAUAUCAAAUUCGCUAAGACAUAUUUUAUGGUGGAUCUAGUGCAACUAAUUUGAUGUUAUAGUUUUUGGUGCAUUUUUGUAUAAACUUAGCUAAAGAUCAAAAAUUUUAGUUUAGGACAAGACUAAAACGAACUACACUACACUUUGAAAUAGCUGGAGCAGAUCCAUUUCAUAUGAAAACUGAGUAUAGCUUAGUAGUUAGAACCUACCCAUCUUCGUUAGAAUCCUCAACAUGGCACAGGUGGUUGUAUUUUUCCUAAAUUUAUUCUAUGAUUUAAUAGUCUAUGCUCUCAGUAGUAGUCUCGUGACCGUCGACAACUAGAUACCUAUUAUAACUUUGUCAAUCUCAAGAUCUGCCGGCUCAAUCUCUCGGAGGUGUUUAUAGAGGUAGAGUUUGCAUAUACAUGUUCGUGUGUAUAUGAGUAUCUCUAUGAAUGUACGUAUUAAAAGAAAAUGCUAUAAGAAAUUAGUAGAAAAUAAAUAUUUUUCGAUUUGCUGGAGGAAGAGAUAAAAAAUAAAUAAAAGUAUAAAGAAAAGUCAACUGUAGGUGUGGCUUGUCUAAUGGAGGACGGGGACUUUGCUAGGACUGAUUCCAACAGUAUCGGACAGUGAGAGGGAGAAGAUGAGAGAGAAGAGAACCAACAAAUGGGCUCUCGAGCUGGUGGGUUCGGUCAACGCACGGACGAUAUACAAAUGCAAUGCGUUUUUAUUGCAUCGUACAUCGAUACAUGCAUACAUCCCGAUGCCAAAAAUACAUACUCUAAUUUAUACCCGCUCCGUUAUAAAUUGUAAGUUAUUUUAACUUCUUUAGAUUUAUAGAUAUUAUUACCUAACCAGACAUACAAACAAUCUAGAAAAACUAAAGACAAACAAUCUAGAAAAACUAAAGACAACAUACGAACAGUGAGUACUUUAUUAAUUUCCUACCGCGCGCUGGAGCUGAUAAAUAACAGAAAAAUCAGCGAUUGCCUCGUCCUCGUAGCGAUCUCCUUCCCGUCGUCCCUUCUCCGUCGCCUCCUCGCCUCCCAUCAAUCCCUGAUGAGCGCAGUCCCCUCCCUAUAAAUACAAGCUCCAUUCCUCCUCCUCCUCCUCCAUUGCUUCGUUCUCAUCACUGCACAAGCUCGGCGCGCCAUAGCCAAUCUCUAUCCGAUCCUAGAGCUAAGCUAGCUUGUUGCGUGACUCGAUUCAUCCGAUCCCACUGUGAACUUGAGCAGGGCAGACACCACUUAUCUCGUCGAUCGGAUUCACGUAUAGUAGUAAUACAUGGCAAUCCUCGACCUCAACCAGGCCAUGAAUAACAAUAAUACCACCGCUCCUCCUUGCCAUACCCAUGCGGCUCCAGCUUCCGAUCAGCGCCUCCGUCAAGCAGAGUGGAAGGCCGGCGACGACGCCGACAACCCCAACCCCCGCCACCAGGCCGACGCAGAGGAGGAGGAAGAAGAGGAGGAGCUGCUCCUCAAGGGCGUGCGGCACCUGUGCGAGCGCGGCGGCAUUACGAGGCUGCCGGCCCGCUACGUCCUCCCGCCGUCCGACCGCCCAGCGCCGCCGGACCACCACCAGCGCACCAGCGGCCUGACGAUCCCCGUCAUCGACCUCGCCCGCCUCCGCUCGCCCGGCGCGGGGCGCGCGGCGGCGCUGGUGGAGCUGGACGCGGCGUGCCGGGACUACGGCUUCUUCCAAGUCGUCGGCCACGGCGUCGGCGUCGGCGGCGGGGCGAUGCUAGACGUGGCGCGGCGGUUCUUCGAGCUGCCCUUCGGCGAGCGCGCGCGCCACAUGUCCCCCGACAUCCGCGCCCCCGUGCGGUACGGCACCAGCUUCAACCAGCUCAACGACGGCGUCCUCUGCUGGCGGGACUUCCUCAAGCUCGUCUGCGACGACCUCGAUGGCGUCGUCCCGUCCUGGCCGGACGCGCCCGCCGACCUCAGGUGCGCUGAUUCUUCGAUCCGAUGCAAUUUCUUUCCGGUGGUUUCUCUUUUGGUUUUACCCGCUUGCUAGUUCAUCUCGUUCAUGCCUGCGCAUAUAUGUGGGUCCCUUUCUGAUAACAUCUCAAGCCAGGAAGGAAACAAAGUGAAAGUAGCAUACAUGCAGUGGAAGGAAUCAGAUAAUCCUUCAGUGAGCGAAGGGGGACUCAUCUAGAGUUGUACGUUGAAGUGGACAUGUAUAUGUGCAUCCCCCGCGGAGCAGAGCACAGGACAAAGCUCUUGCUGAUGCGACUGCAUGCCCCCAAAUGUUAGAGGCCCACCAGCGCUGCCGCAAAAUAAAAUAGGGGGAAAAAGGAAUAAAUCUGCGCUGCCCUUUUUGCCCGCAUCAAAUACGCAUAGUCGCAUACGCAUGCAUCCACGAAUCCGACGUGUCCACCUAGCUACUUGUCGAGUGUCGACUACACUGGCUCAUAUACAUGUAUAUAUGCGUAUAUGGCAACCGCAGGGAGGUGGUGUCGGCGUACGCGCGGUCGUGCCGGCGGCUGUUCAGGGAGCUGAUGGAGGCGGCGCUGGAGGCGAUCGGGAUCGGCGGCCCCGGCGCCGGCGAGGUGCUGGCGGGCUGCGACGCCGGGUCGCAGAUGCUGAUGGUGAACUGCUUCCCGGCGUGCCCGGAGCCGGACCUCACGCUGGGGAUGCCGCCGCACUCCGACUACGGAUUCCUCACCGUCCUCCUGCAGGACCAGGUGAACGGCCUCGAGGUCCGCCACGCCGACUCGUGGGUCCUCGUCGACCCGAUCCCCGGAUCGCUCGUCGUCAACGUCGGAGACCACUUCGAGGUAUUGUAUACUUGUGCCAAUAACGCAACUCUUCUGGUAUUUAAAAAAGACGCGCACGUACGUACACAGAGUUGCGUCUUGUUGCGUGGAUUGGAAACCAACAAUAAUAAUCAUGCAUGUUUCUUUUUUGUCUCCUGUUUUAUUUUAUAUUAUAUACAGAAACAAAUGAAUGCUAUAUAUAAUAUGAUUGAGCUAGCGGUCAAAUCUCCUAGCAAAUGGUGGUCCGAUACCGACGAACAUAUCGAUCGGUACGCCAAUCUGGCUGGCAUAUUUAGUUAAGAUUGCGAGAUAGUACACUGUUUAACUAACAGUUCCAAGAUGCUGGCUUUAUGGAACUAUACAGAUCGAUGCGAUAAGAAGCUAAUAAGCUAGUGUAUAUGCACGAUGCAGAUGUACAGCAACGGGCGUUACAAGAGCGUGCUGCACCGGGUCCGCGUGAACUCGGCGCGGUCGCGCAUCUCUGUGGCGUCACUGCACAGCCUGCCGCCGGCGAGGGUCAUCGGGCCGGCGCCAGAGCUGGUGGACGACGACAAGAACCCGAGGAGGUACAUGGACACGGACCUCGCCACCUUUCUCGACUACCUUAGCUCGGCCGAGGGCAAGCACAAGUCCUUCCUCCAGACCAGGAGGCUCCUCACCAGCUGACCAUGCACGGGCGGGCCCACAGGCAGCCACCCGCUUGAACCACCUGGAUCCGUCCUAACUGUUAAGCAUAUGAUUACGUACGACGUGGGUCCCACCAGUCCGUGUCUGUCGUUUUGGUCAGCAGCAGGAGAAAAGUCAGCACGUAUAGUACCUGCGGUUGUGGACCAAGUUGACCGGUCAAACCCGUAGCCCGACUGGUCCCAUCUACUGCUGCUGCAUGCUGUCUACCCUAGCUAGCUAAUAAGCUAUGCUACUUUAUUUUCAGCUAAAAGAAAAAAAUAUUAUCAGGAUCGAGAAGCUUUAUUUGUCUAUAUGCUGUGUCAAAGCAAAAGGCACAGGAUCCAUACGGUAUAGGAUACCCGUGCAUGGAGAUCCGUGCUGCAUAUGUAAUCAGAGGAGCGGGCAGGGACCAAAAGCUAGGAAGCUUCGUCACCUGAACUGGAACCAGACUGAGCAUCAAGCAUUGACGGCUAAUAAGGAUCGAGGAGGGUCAACCAAACUACAUUGCGAACGUGUAUAAAAAAAAAUUCAUCCUCCACUACUAUAAUAGAUCAUCUCGAGUCUGCCGGAUUCUAACCCUUAUCGAUACGGUAAAGUAUAGUAGACGACAAUAAUCUAAUGACCCGCAAAUGUGCCGACUGUGUUGGAUACUGAAAACGUCAUUAUCAGCAGUAUCGGUGCUUCUCAACUACUGCACGGAUAAUAUAGUAUCCCUGCCGGUUGAGCCUUUGUGUUGGUCUGGAUACCACUUGGAGACGACGAACAAAAGUGCAAUUCACCGGCUUAUCUAGCUAGUUAUCGGUAGCAAACUCAAUUCCAAUACUUGUUCGAAGGGUGUGUUGGGUUCUGAGACGAGGUGGGAUGGAACGAUUCCACUCCGGUUUUGGGAGAUGAGGCGGUUCCGUUUAGUAUUCGAUUGAAGUGGGAUAGGUUCAUAUUCAUUUCUUGUUUGUUAGGUGUUGAGAUUGGUGGGAUUGAUGGUGUUUUUGACACCGUUAGCAACAGUGUUUAGUGGACUACAUCUAUUAUUUAAGGUCCCAAAUGUCAUCCUCUAUAUUUCUUUUUCUUUUUGUCUUUUCAUUUUUCCUUUUAUCUUCUUCUAUCAGCAUCCAUGGUUGCCCCGGCAUCCUCCUCCACCCCAGCGUCCUCUUCCCCCGUCGGUUGCCUCCUUGCACGCUUCCUAUGCCCCUGACCCCGUCGACCUCCCUUCCCAUUAGUUCCCUCCACCCCAGCCACACCCCACAUCCAACUGUGCUGACAGCCCGUUGGAGUAGGCACGCACAUCGACAACACACUGAAGCCAGCUUGACGCGCCACCCCAUUGGAGCUGGCUCAACCACCGCUUGCAGCGCCGUAGCACCGCCUGCUUGCCUUUGAUAGGGCCGCCGCUCGCUCGUCAUCGGCUAGUCUCCUCCGUGCCACCCUGCAUCGCUAGGCCUUUCCCUCGCACACAGAUGGAGAAGACGGAGCUGAGACGGGGCAAAGUGGGACGGUCCCUGUCCGCUCGUUUCAAGUGGAUGGUCCCAUCCUGCAACUGGAGAGAAUAUUCCCCUCCAGGAAUGGAUCCAUCCUACCUGUCCUUCAACCCAACACUACAUGAAACAGGGUGGACCCGUCCAGUCCCUCAACAUCCGCCGAACCAAAUACACCCUAAAUGAAUAACAUAAAACAUAUCAUAUUCAUCUACAUAAAGAUAGUUUAUGUAGUUCUUUUCACGUGCAAAUUUAUCUAUACCCCUCACAAUAGUCCCACUUUUACCAGAUAAGGGGUGAUAGAUUGUCUUACUACACUACCAUGUAAAAUUAUAUGUUCUAAAUGUUUCCUCCACUUUGGAGCACCUCCACCAAUUAUAGGAAGGAACUUCAGCAGCCUUGUCCUAAUUUAUUUUUUUGGGCGGCCUUUGUAAAUACAUUACCUAUAUGGAGUUUUCAAAACUCGAACAUACUUUGGAUAGAGUUUAAUGUUUAAUUUUUAAAUUUUAACCAACAAAUGCGAUUGUUGAUUGAGAGAUCAUCUUUAACUAAUGAAAACCACAAGUUGAAAUUGUAAUGUUCAUAUGAUAACUAUUUGGAGAUGUUUGAAAGCAGAUGCGUGUACAAAUGAAGAAAUUGCUACUAAAUGCAAGCAUGAAUUAAAAUACAUAUCAUGGUGAAAAAUUGUAUUUAACCAAAUAUAAUGUUUUUAGUAAAUAAAACUAGAACGAAUAAGUUUUUAAUCUAAAAGGGAAAUUAACAUUAGUAAGUUACAAAUAGUUGAAUAACAAUUUGAGAGCUCCAAAGUGGAAUUACAAGAUGAACUUCUAUUAAUUAAAUUGAUUCGUAUAAAAACAAUCUAGUGUUUCAUAUGAGUUACCAUACAUUGCUCAUAUGUUAUAAUUAUUUUCAUAUCAAGUGCAAUUUAUGAAGUGGUUUAGCUGAAUUCUAAAGUAAUAGUAAUAAAAAGGAUUUAAACAUGGCAACCUAAAAAUUAUGUUAAAUGUGUGUUAGCAUGGUCAUUAACAUUAAAAUUGAGUGCAUAAAUGAAUUUAAUAAUUUUUCUAGCAUAUUUACACAUGUGACAUGACUUUAUCUUUUAAUACAUAUUUUAGUAAUGGCUUAUGCUAUCUUUAUAAUUAAAUAAAAUAAAAGGUAUAAAUACGAAAAAUAUGAACCAUAUGCUCAAAAAAAAUUUACAAUUUCAAAUGAAUAAAUUUUGAAUCAUGAACAUGUUUUGUUGUUUAAACAAACUCAAAUUUGACAUUUAAACACAUGUUGCUGGAAAAGCCCCAAGUGUUGAUGUACUUUAAUUUAGCCAUCUUUAGCAACUAAUUCAAGUAACUUUUUACUAAACACAGAACUUUUGACCAACAUGAAACUAUAUACUUUCAUCUAGAUAUGUUGUGGAUGUGUGAAAACUUUGUUUUGCUCAAAAAUUUAAUCAAACCUUGAUCAAACCCCUGUUUUUACAAAUUCUGAAAAUUUCCAAGUCCUUCAUUGGAUUGCCCUAGCCUUGCUCUUUACAUGCAGGCCAAGUGUGAAAUUUUUAGAGUCAUCAACAUUCAUUGGAUUACCCUAAUCCAACCAUAGCAAAGUCGUAAAUAAAUAUGUGACCUAAUUCCGGGCAGGAUUUGAAAAUUUUUGGACUGUUUAUAGUUGAGUUAUGAAUUUUUGAAUCUUGUUAUCAGAAAUUUCCAUUUCUGCACCUAGCUGUUCCUCAUAUCGAUUCAUGGGCUAAUACCUUUUCUUGCAAAAUCACAGAGGAUAUAUUUAUUUCUGGACCGGACCGUCUCAUUUAACUGUGUUUGUAAUAUUUUCUUUUAAAAUUUUAUAAAGUUUGUUCAGUUAUUUUUACAUGUUUGAUAUUCCAUCUUUGUAAUUGAAGCUUAUCUCUUGUUCUUCGGUUUUUCCUUUUUUCUUUUUUUUCUUUUUUGCGAACCGAGCUUGGAGCUUCCUUAGCCAUGCCAAAUUUUGAAGGUCAGCGAACAAUAUCCCGUUCUUCCGUGUUGUAUUUGGUGAUGAUCAAGAAAACAGAAAUGUGACUAAAGAUCUAACCGUAACACUUUUUACAUCGAUAUAAAUUUGUUUUUAGGUAUUUCCCAAGAUGAUAAGCACACUCAUACAUUAGUCAAACAUUUUUUGCUCUGUACGAAGAAUAAUUCUCUUUGGACCUGAGGCUGAAAAGCAGAUCCCUUGUGCUUGGAUUGUUUGCAGGAAAUAAAGGUACGAUUUGCAAACAUGCAAUGUGUCGGCGAUAUACUGAUGUGUGAAACGAAACACUCUGCAUGGGGAUUCUACGACACUAUCCUGUUAUGUGCAUAGAUUUUAUUCAACACUGAAAUUUGCUUUUCUGGUACUUCCACUUCUCUGGCAGCACUAUACGAACUUUAUGAAAUGUAGCACUCCCUAGGCUAAUUAGUUCAUUUUUAUAUAGUAAACUCAAGUGGUCAAUCAUCCUGGGCAAAACUUCGGCCCAUCGAACAAGUUUUGCUGCUUGCAGAGUGGGCCUUGCCAAUGAGCCGGGGGCCAAAUUCCAGCAAAGCAGCAUGCAAGAGUCAUGCAGGAUCAAGAGAACAGAGAACUGAGAUUAAUUAAAACGACGAGACAUACAGUACUGAUACAAACCGACUACCUGUAGCUAGGUCCUGGUACGUACAGACACCUACGUACAUAGGAGUAUUACGCUUCCAACUAAGCACUUGAGACUACGUGCAACUCGACUGCUAGGUACGACGCGGCGCCGGCGACGGCGCGGUGCACGGUGGGCAUCCAUGACUAGCUAAAACAUGCAUGUCAGCUACUAGCUAGGCCUAGGUGUCGUCGUAGGACAUGUACUUUGAGAUGGCCUUGGUGCCCUCGGACAUGGCGUGCCUGCCGAGCUCCCCUGGGAGCACGAGCCUGACGGCGCUCUGCACCUCGCGGGAGCUGAGCGUGGCCCUCCCCGCGGCCUUGGACAGCCGCGCCGCCUCGUCCGCCAGGCGCUCGAACAUGUCCGCCAUCAUCAUGUCCAGCACCCGCAUCGCGUGCCCGGACACGCCCAGCUCCGGGUGCACCUGCUUCAGCACCCGCCACACGUACCGCUUGUACCCGCCCAUGCCGCCCAUGCCGGCGUCGCCGCCCGGGCUCGCCUCGCCCAGCCGCCUCCGCCGCCCGGUCUUCGCCUUGCCGCCGCCGCCGCCUCCACCGCCCCGCUUCUUCUGCUUCUGCGGCGUCGUCUUCGUUCCUGUUGUUUUCCUCUCCGACGCCACCCGCGGGGUCUCCGGCUCCUCCUCAUCUCGCCGCCGCUGCUGCGGCGGCGGCUUCCUCCUCUUCUUGCUGACGUCCACGUCCUCCUCCUCCUCCUCGUUGGGCUCCUGGGUCUCCAGACUCUGCGGUGGUGGUUCUUGUGCGGCUUCUUCAGCAGGAGCCGGCGGCUUCUCCUCCUCGCGCCGGCCACCACGGCCUCUCUUGGCGGUGGGCUGCUGCUUCGCACUGGAGCGGCCGGUGGUGUUGUCGCUGUCCGGAGUAGUGAUCUCGACGUGCACCACCUUGGAGCGCGAGACCUCCCCGGUGCGGGGCGCCAGGGCCAGAGCCCCUGGAGCCAGCUGCUGCUCCGGCUCACCGUCGGCGACAAUGGCGGUGGUGACCUCCACGGUCUCCUGCACCACCUUGGUCUUCACCACGGAGCCGACCACCUUGCCACUACUACGCCGCUUGGGAGCCAUGAUGCCAACCAAAUCUGCUACGCAGAGCAGAGGGUACUAACACUAACAGAGAAUGCUAACACUAACAGUGGCGACGAUGACAGACAUGCAGCUCGGUGGGGAAGAGGCUCCUUUAUGCAGGGCACGGCAGGGACACGUCACAGCCUCACACCAGGCCGGGGGUGGACACGCGGCUGCCUGGAAGGGCGAGAGGGCGACGUGGUAACUUCUGCCGCCUGGGGCUCCGGGAACAGGAAGACAGACACAGUUGCACUGCACGCUCGUGUCGCCGUGGUGACAGGUCCUCUCGUUGAGACAGGUCGAUAAGAUAAGUAUGCAGGGCGAAUGGAGGGAGAGGGAGGGAUCGAGAAGGGCAGCAGCAGGUUCAAAUUAAUCCAGAGGACUCGUUGAUCCACGCGCGCGCGGGCUCUCUCUCUCUCUUUGAACGGACGGCAAGAGCUUUGCCAAAUUUUUAUUAGAUGGAAAAGCAUAAAGAAAAAGAAAAUACAACUAGCAGGGCCAACCGCCCCCCACUAUGCAAGGAAUAACUAAUACUUAACUAAAAAAUAGAGAGCAAAAGAACAACGAGUAAAAAGGAAGAUGCUCGCAACUCAGAAAAAUUGCAUAGGUUUCGACCUGCACUCCGUUUGGAUAACUUUAGUUGCUGGUGGUAUUCCUUUAUAAGAUAAGCUACCUCCUUCACGAUCGAUGAUUAAAUGUCCUACGAUUUCUUUCCUUUCAUAUGUUCCAUAAAAAAUAUAUGACCAAUCCAUCAAAAAAUGAUAUGUUCUGUGUUGAUAUGAGUUUCCGGCCUUUUUUCCACCAUCUAUGAAUGGAAGAUGGUCCGUUUGUGACUGGUAGAUGCGGUAGGGUAAACCAUAUUGCCAACUUAUUCCAAACCGUUGCCGUGUAAGUGCAAUUUUUGUAUAAAUACGUCGGCGUUUCUCUCUCUUGCGGUUCGAAUCACGCUGGUCAGAAGUUUUGCGCAGUUCGCCCCACAAUUUCGUAGGGACAGUCGUGUUCACUGCCGCGACGAACUACAGUGCAUCGAGCUUUCUUAGAAUCGUAUCAUAAUAUUUGACAUACAGUGAUACGAAGGUAGUAUAUCAUACUACACCCACUUAAUUAAAGUUAAAUUUUUAGACAAAAUUAUUGACUUGCCCGUAGCCCUUCUAGGCCAUUUCUCAAUGGUAGUUUUAUGGCUGCCACGUAGUCAAUUGUGGUAAUAUGGGCAUACUGUUUAUGAGGUAAGAGAAGAAACUAGUUUCUUGGAGAUGAAACCAUGUAUACACUAUUUUCAAAAUAUUAAUGUCUUGCAUGUAGUCUUGGAAACAACAAAGUAUGAAACAAUGAAUUGUAUAAUUUAUUUUAUCCUUGAAUUAGAUACAAUCUUGUUUAUGUGGUAUGCUUGAAACAUAAAUAUGAAACAUUGCAUUAAGAAUGGUCUUACGUCUCUGUAUGAGUUAUACAUUCAUUUUUUUUCAUUAUUACCGAUUCUGGCGUUUUUCGCUGAUAAGUUAAUGCCAACAAAUAGCAACAUAAAUGUUGGGGGAAAAAAGGCAUAAACUCAGAAGGUAGUAACCAUGUGCAACGCCUCACAUCUAUUAUUGUUGUGUCCAACAUGCAGGACACCCACUUAAUUAUUGCCCGCUCUCUUUUAACUAUGAUCGAAAGGAGAUCCAGUAUGUACCUCCGCAGAUGAUCUGUAUGUAUAAGUAUAAUUUUUUCUUGUAAAGGGAAUAUGAAUUCUACGCAUUUAAAUAGACCAACAUACCAAGAUCCUGUUUGUUUGAGCUUUUUGACAGCUUCUCAGCGUGAAAAGUCAGAAGUUCAAACAAACAACGAUUUUCUCGUGUAGCUUCCGAAAAGCUGGAAGUUCAGAAAAGCUGAGUUUAUAUGGAAAGCUGAAAAGCUCAGUUUUAUAAACUUUUCGAAGCUUUUUGAGCUUAGAAAACUAAACACAUCUUCUAGAAGAUAGUGUUAACUUUUUAGAAGCAAAAAAGCUAGCAACAACUUUUCAGAAAAGAUCAAAAGCUACAAAUCAAACAAACAUGCCUUGACUCAUCCUGAGCCCAAAUUUUGUUUGAAGACAUAACUUCAGUUCUAACUUCUAAUCCCCGUAACCAAUUCCCAAGCUACACUAUGCGGCAGCUAUAAUCCAAAAGCAACUUAAAUUAUUCUCUAAAUAAAUCUUGAAACGUGACAAUUAAAAAUAAGUGUAAGUGUAGGACUGUUUCCUUAUUAUCAAAAACAAAAUAAUUUUCACUAUCUUUCUAAUUUCACUUGAUUAGAUUCUCUGGUAAAAAAUACUCCCUCCAUCCAAAAAAUAAGUCAUUCUAGGUUAAAAAUACCUAGAGCCCCUUGAUGCUCACUACCUUCCCAAAAAAAAUGAUCUAUAGCAGUUUAACUCUUUAAGAUACAUUUUUGUACUUUAAAGAAAGACAUUAUAUACAUGGCAAGGAUGCGCUCAGCACAUAAUUUAUCAGUACUAGGCGACUACCACAAGACAGAAGUAUACCUUUCCAACUGCUUUUAGCCUUUUAAAAACGAACUUCAAAGGAUCCCCUAUAAUUAUUUGUGAGCUUUCCAUGAUUUUUGGGAUGCUAAUAUAUCUAAAGAAAUAGUGCUCCAUAUCCACACUGUGAAUAUUGAACCUCAUAUAUCUUUGCUUCACUCCUUUAAAAAUUGAUCUUCAAUCCAGAUAAUUGCUCAUAACCACAUAACAUAAUAGUGUAUGAGAAGAAGAUGAAGGUAUGGUUAACACAGAAAGUUAUAUUUUCACACAGAAUACUUGAUCCUGGUUCAAUGUAUGUACACACAUUGGUGAUGGCCUGAUGGCGAGCGAAUUGAAGCUUGGUAAGUUGUUGUAUGUUUAGGACCCUGUGUCCCAGUCAACAAAUAGAGUACACUCAAGUUAUCCAGGAUUUAAUCACUACAGUGUCUCUGGAUUUGUUAAAAAAAGCUACAUUUUAGAGUUACGUAAAGAUCAGUUGGUUAAUUUUACUUACACCUAAAUUAGUUUUUGCAGGAUUACUAAAGAUAACGUUUCAGAAUUCAGAGGCACAACAGCAGUGUCAUCAGUCCCUCCCCAUCAGCAUGUUGGUGACUCCAUCCACAAUCUUGCUCCGCAGUGAAGAUGAGAGAUCAUGCUCCUCACCAAAGUGCACCCUGUAGACUUCCCACUCCCUAUCUUCCACAACGUGUCUGCCAAUCUCAGCCUACAAACAUCACGAUGCUCCAUUAGUUGUUACGAGAUGCUUCUCAUCUCAGUAAAAAAUAUAUUCAUCUAUGAUUGUAAUAAUUGUUAAAGAUGCACAAGGAUAUACUGUACAUUAUAUAGUACCAUACCAAGAAGAUUCGUUUCUGAAGAUUCUUGAGAGCAAGGGUGAUGUCAUAGAACACCAACGGCCUACCCUUGCCAGAGACCUCAACGGGGUUUGCUACCAGCAGCUCUGUGUCAGGACCCCGGUCCACCAAUGCCACACGCAGUGGUCGGAGGAGUUCCAUCCUUAGGCGACAACACAGGGAUCCCUGCCUUUGCAGAUCAAGGAUCUUCUUUCCAUCUGAUUGCACUACGAACAAAUCCACAUCACACCUUCGAUUUUGGCUAGCAUAGAAUCGGCCAUAGGAGAUCUGACACCAAAGAAAAUUGAACUUGCUUCUUCAUUAUUUUCCUUCGUAGGAGGGUGAAAUACAACUGAAAUUAGGCUUGUAUCAAUUGUAGUUACCUGAAUGUUGCAGUCCUUGACUGUCCUCAUGAUGUCAUAUAGGAGGCCCUUACGAUCACCACACUGAAUCUGAAUAAGAGUGUGCACAGAGCUUAGAGAGUUGUCCAUUGUCACGGAGAUGGUAUCACCACCUCUUGUGCUGAUUGACUGCUCCUCUAUGAGAUCCAUGUUAAACAUCUGUUCCACUACAGCAGGCAUCAACGAAGCACAAGCUUGAAGGCAAGACAACAUCUCUUCGGUGGCAAGAUCUAUUUCACGACUUGUCAAGGAGUCCCCUAAGACACUAUCGAGUUUGUCGUACGCUUCUUCCCUUCUGCUCUUUGUGUGCAGAAGCUCCCUGAAAUCAUUCCAGAGUGUUCGUUUACUUUCUAGAGGAGAUAUGGAGCUCAUAGUAUUCUAAAAGGUGGAAAUUAGUAACCAUAAACCACAAACAGGCAGCACCACACUAUGAUGUUAAAAAAAGAAUGGACGAUUCCUGAUAUAUCAGCAAAGAUGCUUGAUGAAUAAUAUAAUGUAUGAUUUCAUCAUAUUAUCAUGGAGUAAUAGUUUCUGGAAUCAAGAAACAAAAAAAAAAGAUCAUUAGAAGGCACUGAAAAGGAUGUGUUAGGAGAUAAGAGAC
rnacentral:lncRNA from 1 species